UUAUGCAUGAAACCUUCCCGUUUAUUCAUAUAAGAUUCCAAAGAGGAAUUCCAUGGCUUCGUUUUUAGAAUUUUGUGGAUUAACCAGCAUGCCCUAGCAUCAAAACCAGAACUGCCAUGCCCAUUCCACAAACAGACACUAGUACAGGUACCACGAGGGGCUAUCCUACUUUAGGAACAGUAAAGGACGAUCCCUUGUUCUGCACUGCAGAAAGAUCACAAAAACAAAUAACAAGUAACAGGUCUAACAUAGUCGCCACCAACGCGACCUGCAGGCAGGUCCAACGACCCCCACAGCAAAGACGGUCAAAUCUCGGGUGGCUUUCCCAGUGAACAGUUGCAUCUCUCCCGGCCGCAAACAGUAUCAUCCUUCAGUGUCUUCCCCUUCGUCAACCUCCUCGCAGUAACCUUCUCACCAGUAACCCAAACCCAGAACCGAGAUUUCGAGCAAUAGAGCCGUCAGAUCUCAGUCCCGGAGUGCUUCCCAAAACCACCAGAGGUUUCAACCACCUUAACGGCUUCAGUACUCGGGUUGGCGGUCGUUCCUCCAGUUCCCAGAGCUGGGUCCUCCACGGCCACCGUAGCCGCCACCACCACCGCCUCCGUAGCCUCCACCACGGCUUCCUCCAUAACCACUACCUUCACGGUCACCUCCUCCACGGCUUCCACCGUAACCUCCUCCAUAGCCACCUCCUCCUUGCUCUCUGCGGCCGUAGCCACCACCGCCGCCACCGCCACCACCGCCUCCACCACGAGACUGGGCUUGGUUGACGGUGAUGUUGCGACCGUCCAACUCCUGGCCGUUCAUCUCCUUGAUGGCAGCGUUCAUUGAGUUCUCAUCGGCGAAAGUAACAAACCCAAACCCGCGAGACCUUCCGGUCUCCCUGUCAGAGAUCACCUUACUCUGCACAACCUCGCCGAAGGGACGGAACGCACCCUCCAGGCGGCCGUCGGUAGUGGCCCAGGCCAACCCUCCGACAAAGCACCUGAAUUCUUCUCCACCGGCCAUCUUGGUAGAGUGAAAGCUGCGGAACAAGAAACAAGUCACAAGAGACCAGUAAAGUAACAAGAGGCGCAGGGAAGAAGGUAUCCCUGGAGGCCUCUGAGAAGAGAGCGAAGCGGACCGGGACGAAGGAAUGGGAGAGCACUACUCGAUACAUCGCAACGACGAGCUUAUGAGGGGGACGGGUGGGCGCCCCUACCGUCGGCCGACUCGCGGUCGGUCCAGCGAGUUAGUGCCAUCAGAGCCCAACAUCCGGUGGUCGCGCCUACUGCCUCUUCUGACGCGGCUGCUGCAUCGGGACCGUCAGAUGCAUCCUAUUCUGGUGGGAGAUAUUUUGUGGUCUGGACAAAAAGUUGCUCAAGGGUUUUUCGAGUUUAGGGCAGAUCCUUCCCCGGCACCGCUCCAGCCUUUGCACUUGCAUAGUAGACAGGAACUGCACACGUGGUAUCUAGGAUCCAUUUGACUAGAUAUUCGUAAAAUCUUGGCAUAAUAUACAAAUAUAUAUAUUUAUUAAACUUAUCUUGCCAACCCGCAUUGAUCCGUGAAUAUGUUUACGUGAUGAUUUCGAAAAAUGACAUUGUCCUAUUAGGUUGGCUAGAUAAAUUUAUUGGAGAUGGAAAAGAAUUGGGCUUUCCCUUUAGUAUUUUUUUAGUUUUUUAAAUCUUUUUUCCUACGAACUUGUGACUAAAUCUACAACCAAUCAUCUUGAUUGAUUCCAGAAGAAAAAAAAGUUGUAUGUGUGUGUUGAGAAAGACACCAUCAGUACAUGUCUCAAUAAAACUCCACUUUGGACAAGGAACGAAGGGAGAGUUUGUUGCAUAUGGAUGAAGCGAAGGUGGAACAUCCAAAUAACAAUGUAUAACCAUCAUCCAUCCAUGACCGUCUCGAAAACUGCACACACAGUUGAGUGAACAGUGUUCGGAUUCUAAAUUGCAAGGUGACACAAAAGCAUGGACCUACAACUAUAACAGUGCAUGAAAACUUGAUAGCGCGAUCACAUUUGCACAAGAAACCUAGAUGCUAUUUUCUUAUGAAAUUGUUGGAAACUCAUAGAUAAGUUCGAUUUUCGUCGACUCGACGGAAAUCGUUUGCUCGAUUGUUCGUUUUGUGCCGUGAGGCAAAAGACGGCAACCCGCGGCACUGAGCGGCAGACGGUGGCAAUUAUCGGGGCUCGGUCAGCCCAGGUUUUUCUCAGAUUGAUCUCCUCAUCGCGCCAUAUUUUCUCUCGCCAAUUGCUGGUCUCACAUCGUGGACGACGAUUGUAGCCUUGUUUUAGCGUCGCAGCUGCUUCGCCACCGUCUCUGCCUCACGCGUGCUGGACAACCGCAGGUGAGCCGCUUCUAUCUUUAAUUGCGAUUUUUUUAAGUGAACGAUGCAGGCAUGUGUUGGUGAUGCUGUUCCCCUCCGUGUCCUACCGAAAGUUUCACAAUCGUGUUUGUUGUAAAUGCAAAACUAUUUUGUACGGGUUGAGGAUCGUGCGUUUCUAGAACAUUGCUUCGUGUUGUGGAGGAAGAUGGUGUAGGGUGUGCUACCCUCCAGGAGCACGGAUUCUGCAGUAUUCUCUCAAGGAUACCGUUCUCUUGCUCCGUGAAUGUUGCGCUGUCUGUGUGUCGAUCGCGUUAUUAAAGUACCUCUGGUCGCUUGGUUUUUCUGUGGAGGGUUUCAACUGCAUUAGUCUAUUCUGCUGGUGGAUUCGGAGUAUUUUUGACACAUCAUGCUGAUAAUUAGGGUUUCCUCUUUUGUUGAUCGUUUUUGAACUCUCGACGAUUUGUUCUCGUCAUGUAUAGGUUAUCUUUAUUGCAGCCACACGUUUACAUGUUCCUCUUUUUCUGAGGUGGUGCGUGGCCUUCACCAAGAGGUGUUGCAGGUGAGAAGGAAAACAUGAUUUCCGCUAGAUGGAAUUUGGCCGUUGGCCCAGUUAUUAUGGUUGCUGGCGCCUUUGGAGCUGUUGUUGCAGCUACUGUAGCCAACGAGGUAUGUGCAUGUUUUUUUUUUUUUUUUUUUUUUUUUUUUUUUUGUGUACUCUGUCUCGUUUUUUUCCUAUGAGCUAGUAAUAUUUUUAAAAUGACUCUCAUGUUCCAUAAUUAAAUGGUAACAAACGUUUGUUCAUCUUUUGCAGUUUAGUGGCAGCAAGCAAGACAAAGUAUCACAAGAGAAGCCUAAAGCUUGAAACAGUGAAUGAAAGAUGUUGCCGACUAGCUGUGCAGAAACUCGGUGGCAGUUCGUGCGGAUUUUCGUCACCAGUCAUGCCUUGAGAUUUUUCCUGCACGAAAUUACGACUGCAAUAAAUCAAUAAUCUUUGCAUCUUAAUAUCUGCGUUUUGUUGCCGUUCUGACGCUUACGAAUCAUAUGUUGAGAAUCCGCGGUCUGGUUCUUUCAGAUAUGAACGGGACUUUCUGCAGUUGACCCAGAGGUGCAUGUUUUCGAUAUAUGCCUUCACAUGCACGAAUUUUUUUUUUGCACAAGUAAUAGUCUCCGCUACUCAUCAAUGAAGACCAACUUGAUCGUCAUCAUGAGCUUAUGCCUACUUUGCUCAAUCUUACGCAGCUACUGUAUUGGUCUGGUAUUGUGUCAUUUUCGCUCAAAGGGCGAUCGUCUUUUUCUGGAGGUAUUUUGACAUGGAUUUCCAUAGUCCUGUUACAUAGUUCUGUAACAGGUCGUGCAUGUGCUAGGCUUUUAUCUAUUUCUCUUUAUUUCUUUCUUCUUUCUUCACCUCUUCCGUCAAUUCUUUCUUCGUUGGUGUCCUAAUGCGCAAGAAACUUGAUUUCACCAUUUAAAUGUGAAGCAGAUUAUAAUGGACUCGGGGAGCUUAAAGUUGGUAUUUGAGUAGCUCUGUGCAAUCUGUUAGUGCCUGUUGAACUUUGAAGGCACGUUCUUGGUACUCAGCGCUUACAACUCGUUUCUCAUUACUUGGUUUGGCACUGCACGUGAGAUGCAGCUAGAACAGAUAAUGCCGCUUUGAGUACUUUACUGAUGGUGUUGUAAUUCGUCGAUUUGUUGGUCAAGUGGAUUUUGUACAUUCUAUGAUGAUAGUUCCAUCAAUAAUCACACACAGACAUACACACACCGCAAAAAACAAACAAACAAGUGAAAUACAAAUACUUGUAAAAUUUUAGAAUUUGUACUGUGCUGGAGUAACUUGGAAAUUUGUCACAUCACUCAGCCUACACUAGUUAUCAGAGCUCCUCCAAUUUACUCAUCUAGAAGUUCACAGAUUCUCCGUUAAGUGUAAACCCCUUUUGUUUAUAUAGAAUAGUAUCUUAAGACAUUACAAAUGUUGAUCUUCAUAGCUUACAGAUUGCGGAUAAACUUGCAUUGUUUUCUUGAAGAGAAAAUCUCACCAAUGCCCAUGUAGCAAUCGUAGCGAUUACAAUAUCUUUGUAUAUUGAAAUGUUGUUUUUAUUACUAAAAUGUGGUUUGAAGAAGAUUAUCUAUUAAACGUUGGCUAUUCUUUGAACAGGAGCUUUGUUGCUUCAAGUAUGUCAGGUUUUUAGCGUGUUUGUUAUUUAGUUAUGUUUUUUGAGUAAACUGAUUUUUAGCACUCAUGCUCCACACUCAUGCAUUAUUAAUAAUUGGAUGUGAAAAUGUUACUGUUCAUGAUGUAUAGAUAUGUGUUCUUCCAAACCACGUCCAACUGCUCAAAUCGACCGCUAUUUCUUCAGCCGCAAGGGAAAGAAGUAUCCAACCGGCACCCGAGCCAAUCUCGUCACCACCAUGGGUUUCUGGGAGGCAACUGGACGCGACAAACCCAUCCACACUAAGCUAAACCAGACUCUGAUCGGCAUGCGCAAAACGCUUGUAUUCUAUCAAGGCUGUGCUCCACAUGGCAUCAAGACUGACUGGAAUUUGCGCGAGUUUAGCCUUGACGACAGAUCCGAACGACCAACCCAUGUAAAUUCCUGCUCACCUUUCAAUUUCUGUACUUUUCUUAAUGUUUUUUCCGUCUUGUUUUUCAUAAGUUUGCAGUUCGUAUUCUAGGUUUUUGAUAACCUAUCAAGUUGUACACUGGGUUUUCAGGACGGUGGGUGGGUGGUCUGCUGUGUAUUCAAGAAGAACAAAAACCUGAAGAUGGAAAUGCAGCAAGAAAGAGCUACUUCUUACGAAGAGCAAAUGGGUGCGCUGCCUCCUGAAGCACUGGGCUCUCCCAACGUACUCCCUGUAGACGACCAGUUAACACUUCUUGAAAAAUCUUCCCGAAAAAUCUCCCUGAAAAAUCUUCCGGGGUCAAGCGAGAAAUCACUAACCUCGGCGACUGUCAACUCCAUCAGUCUAACGAGUAUCUGAACUCGCUUCAUCGGGAGCUUGGAUACCCCUCAAGCUUGAAUAGACCAGACGAUGUCAACUAUUUCAUGAAUUUGUAUCCAGAAACGUCAAACUCGGGCUUGUGUGAGUUUAAUGAUCCCCAGACUUCUAGUGGCAGUGACGGCACGGAGCUGAACCACGAAGAAACAAUCUCGGGAUCCUCCCACAACGACUCAUGCUUCGAAGACAGGUCGCUAUCGUUGCCCCUGGGCUCUUGGUCCAGCGCCAAAGCCAAAGCUCUAAGAGUAAUCAAAGAGCAGGCUGACGACAUGUGUUUUGAAGACGAAAUGUUGAGAUUCGGAUUCUAUGGCAUUGAUCACGACCGCGACUGCAGUGGAGAGAGCUUGAAUGGCAUGGCGGGGCAAGGAUGCUUUAAUCCCAAAUUGCAAAGCACGACGAGCCCCAAAUGGGUGAAAGUGUUGGUAAACCCCAUGACGUCGAGAAACCGGGUGUUCCCCAGCCGGUCGAAGGACGAUGUCAGGAAAAAUUGAGGCUCAAGAAAGCGGGCUGCGCGAUUUGCUUCGUCUGAUUGGGGUCGUAAAGAAGAAAACGAUGAAGUGUCACUGCAAGAGCAGCGCACUGUGUUUUCGUGGCUGCAGGUAAUUGUCAAUUCUCUCACCCCAGCAUAUGAGUACAAACGAGCUUCCUCGAUGCACGCAUGUGAUCACUUCCACGAUGCACAAUCCAGACUCAUUCAAUUUUCUCCGAUUGGGUGCGCACGAAGUGCAGCGUUGCACAAUUCCCAUAAAUAUAACCCAUUUUUGGACUUUGCUGUAAGCAGGAUGCAGACACAAGAUCACAGCUGAGGAGACGCGAGCAAAGGGACCAGCGGGUGUCGUCGUCAUCUCCUUCGCGCUAAUCCUAGCACUGAAUGUUUUUGCUGUGAACAAAUGUGAUUUCAACGCUCAAGUUUAUAUGCUCAGGGCAGCGGCGCCACUUUUGCCUGCCUUGCUUGAUCGUGUGGAAGCCUGACAGGGGACUCUGGUGUUUGGAUUUGUUUCAAAUGUAGUUGGACGUGGUUUGGGAGAACUCUGCGACUGCAGCGAGGGGGGGCAGCGGGGGAGGGGGCGUCCUGUUCGCGGGCCCCAGUUCAAACUAAAAAAACAGUAAGUAGAUAGGUUAUCACUUCGAGGGGCAUUUUUGCAAUUAUCAAUACUUGACGGGUAUUCUUGAUAUUUCGAAAAAGUUCAGUAAAAUGUGUGAUGUUUGUUCUUUUGUAAACCAUAUUUACAAUCUGUUCACAAUUUUAGGUAAUAUGUUGUCUUUAUUUGUUUACAACCAUUACUGUAGCCAACCCAUUUCCAAUAACUUAAGCAUUUUAGCAUAUCUGCUGUAAGUGUAUGAAAAAAUAAAAAUAUAUCUGUGUAGAGAAAUAGAAAUUAUGAGGAUUCCAAUUGAUUUUACUCGAUUUACUUGCCCAAAAACGGAAUUUUUAUCAAUGUUUUAGCUGAAGAUUCUCUUUGACCCAAAUUUGACAUAUAAGCCAACCUAAUUCCAACCAGUGGUUGGUUACAAAAUCAAGAAUGUUUGAUUCUAGCCAAAUUUUCUGAGUUGGCAUGAAAUUCUUAAUUUUUUACCCAAUGGCAUUAUGGAGUUGAGGCAAAAAUAUUAAUUGAGAAAUGUGAAACCACAAGGUCUCAAAACUGAUCAAUAUUGUCAUGUCAAGUUGAUCAAAAAUAUACCAUCCUAUAGGUUGGAAAUGGAGGGUGGUUGAGAAUGGGUCAACUACAUUAACAUGUAUAAUCUCUACAUUGGUUUCUCUUGCACUGAUCUUCUAUAUGGUUCCUGUUUCCAUCCAUGACUUCCAACAAGCUAUUUACAUUCAUAUUGCAGAUUCAAAAAAUAAUAAUUCCACCAUACCAACCAUCAAUUUUAAAGAACAAUUCAAUUCCUUGUACUGUUAACUCUUUAAAACAUGUACUAUUACAAUUAUAUGCAACUACAGUUGCUUGAAAUUUAGUAGCAUACACAAGCAAAGUUAGCAGUGUCAAUAUUUUAAACUCUUAAAAACUAAUUGUCAACAAAUUUCUUCCAAAUAUCCCCAAAUCAUAUGUGUCAUGUGCUUCUUGUGUUUGUAGGAUUAUAGAAAUGUUCUGUAAAAACUACCACAAUGUCAAACAAGGUAGUGAUAUAUAUAUAUAUAUAUAUUCAUUAUAUUUUUCUGUUGUAUAACUUUAAUUGUAUAAUCAUUUAAAACAUGGUACAAAAAUGAAAAGUUAUUAAAUAAUAUGGCUACUCAUUUAAAUCUCUUUGUGAUUGAUUUGUAUUAAGUUUUAAAAAUCUUUACUUUGAUUUAGCAAAAAAUUAGAAGUAAUGUAAUAUUGACUUGGAAUGAAUGUUAUCUUCAACUUCAAGUUUUUAUAAUUAUAAAAUAUGUUGCAUCAACAAAAAGCCAGAACUACAUUCCUCGCCAAAGAAAAAAUGUCUCUAUGUUCUAUAAAUACAUAAUCACAAAUCACAAUUUCAAAGUCACUGCUUCUAAACAAAUUUUGAAUUUUUUUAACUAAUAAUUUUUAUCUAUAUAUAUAUAUAUAUAUAUAUAUAAGAGCAUGAUAUAAUUAUAGAUCCAAUAUUAUGUUAUUUCUUCUGUGAAUAUAUACUUCAAAAAAAAUAAAGAACAUAAUAUUGGAAUUAUAUUGAGCUCAAAGUGUCCCAACUAUCAUAUUUUAAAUAAUGAAUAUUCACAUAUUGUCAAGGAAACCAAAUAAAAGUGGUUCUAUUAACAACAAUAAGUAUAUAUGUAUAUAACUAUCAUUAUGAUGCUACAUAUAUUUGUUUGUAUAUUUAUUGCCAUUGUAUAUGAAUAAUUUUGGGAGAGUCGAUACAUGUGAAUGUUUUUUACACCAAGUGCUCUUUUAAGAGUCUUGGUUAUGAUCCAAGAGGAUGUGGGUCCAAAUUCUACAGCUACUAUGGUGAUGAUUACAUUAUCUAAUUGUUGCAUUAUUAUUCAUUAAGUAAUGAUUUUCUUCCUUGGAUGUGAGAUAGAAUGCUUGUUGAUUGAUUCUCCCUCUACAAUACAUUUUUUUUAUCUCCAUAAAAUGUCAACAACAUUUGCCAAAAUUUUAUUUUUAUGACUUUUGUUUAUGCACACCACAAAGAAUAAGCUCGUUUCUCUAAACACUUCAUGUAGUUAUAUAAAUUUCGAACUAAAGAAAUAAUAUUCUAUAAAAUAUGUUAUAAAAAAAUAUUUAACGUAAUAUAUACUAAUGUUAAUUUAAAUCUAAUUUAUUAAAAAACACACACACACAAUGUGUAUGCAUACUCAAUUAGGUCUUUAAAUUUACACUAAUUAAUUACUCCAACAAUUGUACCAUAUAAAUUUUCUAUUAUGUAUACCUUACCCCCCCCCCUUCUCUUUCUUUAUUUCUCCCUUUGCUAAAUUGAUUUAUUUUGUUUUUUUGUUUGUUUGUUUGUUUGUUUGUUUGUUUUUUUUUUUUUUUUUUUGUAAUCACAAAACAAGAGCCCUGAGAAACUUACUAGUACAUUAAUACUUAUAAUAUUGAAUAUCUCUAACAAAGAACACAAACAUAUCCAUAUUGUUAUUUGUGUUAUAGUCCAUUCUAUCACUCCAAUUGGGUGGUGGUGGUGGUGGAAUUGUUUUCCACAAUUCUAUACAACUGGAUCAUUUCUAUCAUUUAUUUCUCAAAAAUCAUUUAAUGGAGCAUCUCUCUAACAACAGUCACUCAAGGGACAAUAAUUUUUCACCAUGCUAAUGCAAUUUCCAUUUAAUCCCAUUGUUAACCUUUUACUAACAGAAUCCUCUUUUCAUGUCCAACAUGAAAACCCCCCAAAAAAAUAGAUUCCUCACUCACAUCGGCAGUGCUAUAGAACCCAUCAGCCCUAAACAGUUCCUCGCAUUUGGCGAAUGGAUUUCAUCCCAAACCCUAAAACCUGGCGCCGAGCGCACUCGUUUCCAGUUUCCACAGACUACGGUUUCCAACUUCAAUGAACCCUUGAAUAGAAUUUUGAGACGCCCCGAGGAGCACACUCCCAUGUUUCUUAAGAAAGCAAACCACACACGGAAUCCAGGCUGUUGCAACGGCGGCGGGGACGGUGACGAGAAAUCCAAGCAAGGAAGCAGCCACAUGUAGCAACUGCAGCACCCUAUUCUUUGGACCCACGCACGACUAUUCUGCAGGCUGGUGAGUCAGGCCCCCAUAACCAUAUCUUCGGCGGAUCGCGAAGCUCCAGGGGUUUAUUGCCAUUUGAGCCCUUCGCUUCAACGCAGCACAACACAACGCCACACAUACCUGCAAAGCACGCGACUCUGUGCGUUCACACGGCGCUGUGCAUGAAACAUGGAUGGACACGGUGGCACACACACUAUGGGCCACCUAGGAUUGACCAUAGCCACGUCACAGUCUAGGGGGAUUCUUGUAACGCAUCCCUUGCCACGUCAUUAUCUCCCAGCUCAAUCUCGGCGUGGGCAUUCUCCAUCUAUUUAACUGCACUUUUCAUCCCAUUUCUUCCUCCAUCCAAUGAGUCAUCUAUUGAAAAUUAUAUCCAUCUGUCCAUUCUUCUGUUCAUUCAUUCUAUUAUUUAGAUAUUCAUCCACGUGUUGACGCAUUCAUUGAAUUUUCAUUCAUCCCCACUUGUAGGGAUUGAGUGGUGUAAGUUGUAACGAGUAGGUAUUUAGUUAGGCUUUGAUAUUAAGGAGGUGUUAGACCCAUGAUUUGCAUAUGAUAUCUUUCAGUUAAUUAUAAUAAAUAUGAAUGUAAUUUUGAUAGAAGUAGAUACAUGGUGGUGGUGGUUGAUUUUAACAAUCAUGAACUACUUGUCAUGCUUCACCAUAUUUGGGAGUUACUAUUAAGAAUGAAAUUUACUAUACAAUGUGUGUAUUUAAAAUUUAGAAUCUCCAUUGCUUCUCCAUAGGUGGGUGUAUAUCAUUUUUACUUAGUAUUAAAAUUCAUAAUCAAUGGAGGGUGAUAAAUUUCUUCUUAUUGUACACACAAAACAAAUGGGUGCAUGUGAUUGAAUGUAACCAUUAACAAGGUAUUGGAUCAAUAGGAUUGGGGUUUAACUUUGAUUAUACACUAACAAAUAAAUAAGUGGAGGAGAGAGUGUGCCUAUGCUGAAAGGCAUAAAUGGAUACAUGUUUGGAGCUUCGUAAACAUAUUAUGUCAAAUUGUAAUGAAAAAGUGAGUAAACUUACAUACUUUUGGCUAAUAUUGUAGUCAAGAUUAUACCACAGUGAUAAUAACAUUUAAAAAAAACUGGUAACUUUAUAAUAUUCUCAUGUUGAUUUUGUUCAUUUAUACAUGAUUCUGGUUAUUACACAAGAGCUUACAAGUGAAUAAGAAUCAUCUUUAAUUUUUUUCUGCUUACUAUCAAAUAUUCCCAAGAAAAACAACUAUUUUUGCAAUGAGUUAUUGACAGAGUUUUCUUGGAAUUUGAUUUACAACAAUUUGUAAUCACAGCUGAAUUUUUCAGCUUGUAAUUUCAAUAAUAGCCACAUAUUCACUAACUGAACAGUUCGAAUCUUAAAACUUGAAAAUGUGUUACUUUUGUAUUACUGACGUUUUCAAACCCUUUUUGAAAACACUGACUAUUUAAAAUGUGGUAUGCUUGAUAUAAUAAUAAUAAUAAUAAAUUGAUACAGUUUUUUUACCUUUGAAAUUAUGCCACAAACUCCAGUCAAGGUACAUUUGAAUUGACAUCAUUUUUUCUGUAGAGUAGAAAGACUGCAAUUAUGUGAAUUUUUGUGAAUCCAACAAGUGACUUAAAGUUUCAAUUCAUAUAGCUAUACUUAUACUAAUAAAAAUAUAUGAAUUCCUUUUUUUACCAUGAAAAAAAAGAUGUAAUUCAAAAUUCAACUUGAAAGUUUUGUGUUAAAAUCAUUAUGUUAGCUUUGUGGAACAAUACAAACCUUGUGAAUAUUUAACUUGUUCUGUGGUGGUUGUUUUAUUGUAUUUAAAUAAAUAUUUCUCAAAUAAGUAGUUAUGUUACAUAUUUUUAAUACUUAUAUACAUACAAACAUACAUAUAAUUUCCUUUUAGAGCAUAUGUUCUUUGUGUAUUGUCAUUGUUAUUAGAUUGUCAGCAACUCAAAAUGAAUAGCAAUUGAUUUUAAUGCAUGACAUUAUAAUUCUUGACUACAUUUAAAAAAAUAUUUCCUAUACAAUUUAAGUAUAUUUGAUUUUAUUAGGUUUAAACAAAAACCACUUGAACAUAAUUUUGUGCAGCAUAUAUAUAUAUUAAGAUUACUUUAAACAGGUAUAUUUUUAUUUCUUUUGUUUUUUCAACUUGUAGAGUGUGUUAUGAUUUGUUUUUUCACAGCACACAAACAUUACUUUGCUGCCUCUUGAUAAUUGCUAAAAAUAAAACUGAGUGUGUUUGUUCAUAUUAUGCACAUCCAAUCUGUUAUGGAACUCUUAUCUCACCAAUAAUGGAUACAGCAAAGGACAAGAAGAUGAAAUUAAUGAUAUAAAAAAACUCACACUUUAAAUGUGACAAACAAUAUAAAAUCACAAAAUCACAUCUAAAACAGCACACAUGAGGUGCUUUACACAUCACUUUACUGGACAACUUUGCACCAAAAAAGCUUGAGCUCAAGGGAAGAAGUUCCUCAAAAGUGAUAUCAAUUUAAUUUGCAUGAAAGUUCAAAAUGAUUUCAACCAUGUUCAAUUUUAAAAAUCACCAGAUUAUAGAACCCUCACUCCAGCAAAGAUUUAAUUACUUCAAUUCAAACCACAGCUAAUCCAUACCAUCUUAUUGCUUGAUGACAAAAGUUGAGAAUCUCUUUGACAUGUGAUGGGCACCUAGAUUUGCAAUCUUGGUAAUAUGACAUUAAGUAAAGAGAUUGCCUUUUUUUAAGAAACAAUUUUGGACCAAAGAGAUGGAUGGGCAACAAAUUCAAAAAUUAUAUAUUAGGAUGGAUCUAUCUCAGCCAUGUGAUAACAUGCACAACUUGCCAAAGACCACACAAAAUACUAAAACACUAAAUCCCAAAGCCCUUACAUGUUUCCCAUAAAAGAGACACUAUUUGUACGUCUUGGACUUCAACAGAUCCUCUUGAGAUUUUAUUGUUUCUUGAGUAUUGAUGUGGGUGGAAUAUUUUCCUUUGGGUGCUUUCCACACAUGGGGUUGUUAGGACCCACAAUUUAUAUGUUUAUUUUUCUUUUGAAGUGCUUCUCCUAGGACAAAUUUUUUUGGCAUCACCUGGAACACUUUUUAGGUCAAGAUACUGAAGCAAUCUGGGAUCAUGAACCCUAAUGUAGAUCCAUUUGUGCAAUGAGGCAAUGGCCUUAUUACUUUAGGGUGAAAUGAGUCUGUAUCUGUAUCAAACAUGACAUGAAAUCUCAUGUAUUUACAACCUUUUGGAAGCCAUUUUAAUAACAAGUUGGGAGGGUUUUUAUUCUUACUUGUUUUGAGUUGUGGUUGUAUGUGACAAAUAUGUGUGAUAUGUUUGAGGGAGGUGGAAAAAAAUGUAUAUAAACAUUCAUCUUGUUCAAUGUUUGUGAUGGUGGACAAUCAAUCAUUAGGUUGUUUAUUUAAUCACUCCGAGAUAUUGGUAAGUACCUUUUACAAUUACAUGACAUUUUAUUUUAUUAUAUGUAUAGGAAUGUUAAAUAGACCCAUGCAUUCCUAUACAUAUAAUAAAAUAUAAAGCAUAUUAAUCCAAUAUAGCUACUUUGAAGGCCAUGUUUUGUUCAUAAAGCAAUAGGAAUCUAAUAGUUUCACAUUAGAUUGAUAAGUAUAUACAUAUAUAUGCUAUAAAUUUGAUGAUGCUAAAAUUCGUAAAAUCCUGGAUAUGUAUGUAAAUUUGUGAUACACCAUCGUAAAUUUCCAUAUUAAGAUUUUUAUAGUACCAAAUUAAAUUAAUAUUUUUUAAUAUAUAUAUUUUUAAGGUAAGCUGUGUGGUUUCUCAAAGGACACCAGCACCAACUUGCCUCUGGAAACGAAGUUGAUACCCUCUGAAAGAAAUAUAUAUCCGGUUAGUCCAAGUGUAUACCUCUCUUAGCCUCAAUCUAUAUCCGGUUAUUCCAAGUUCAUACCCCCUAAAAAGCAACCGAUAUCCGGGUAGUCAAAGUUGAUACCCACCGAAGACUAGUUCUGAGUCGCCCAAGUUGACUCCUCCUCCGAAGGUCAGUUAGUCAGUGUGUGUGAACUUGUCCACUUUGCUUGGCUGUGAGCAACUGGAUGUUUCUGAAAACAAGGGGAGGCAGCAUUUAACUUACGUCUGCGAUGGCGUUGUCUCUGUGAGGCAGAUAGCAUGAAGCUAUGUGGAAAAAGUCUGAACCAUGCUUCUAAGGAUUGUUUUAUUGGUGUUUUCCCUAAAGCAAUAGUAACAGUGCAAAUGCCCGUUACUUCCUUUCCAAUAUGCUUACAGCAUAUUCCAUAAUCCACCCGCCAUAGCCAGGCGCGUGAGGUUUUGUUUCCCUCUCUGCUUCCGUAACUAACUCAUGCUCGUGUUUCUCCUCCAUCGUGUAUGUCACCAUUCUGUGUUUCCAGCGUGUUACCCGUCUCUGCCUCGUGGCGACGGUGUGUUAUAACACUGGCCGAGAGGAGUUGCUGAUUGAAGGACGUGUUGGAAGCGAGUUCAGUCUAUAAGUUUGCUCUGCGUGAUUUUUUUUGAAACGAGUGUGCGUUGAGUCUGAGCGGAGCAUCAGGACUUCUGUAGAUAAUUGCUAGAAUUCUCGGGGAAUCGAUCACUUCCCUCGUUACAACGAUGUAUACCGCGGUCAGAACCAUUCGCCGGAAGGCGCUUGUCGGGUUCGCUAGGCAACGGGAGCUUCAUGGAGUUUCAGCGCCUCGAGACGGAGUUCGUACCUUGGCUGAAGAAUUGUCGUCAGGUGAGAGUGGAGUUGCGUUUUUGUUUACACUUCGGGCUGUUGAUGAAUCAUGUGAUCUUGAAUUCUUGUUAUCUGAGUUGAUUAGCUAGUUCACAACAGAGAGAUUCGCGUGCUGACGAGCGUGUUCUUAACUACAGAAGAGUCGACGUGCGGGGAGAAACACUUGAAGCCAAUUUUGGUAGUGCAUUGUAGUGCAUGUGUGGAAGAAGAUUGUUUAAUGGAAGCGUUUAUGAGUUUUUGUGCUGUUUGCGUGAGUGAUGCUGGCGAAGUUAUUCUGUGUCUCGAAGCUUGUGUGUUUGCCUUACUUGAGUCGCUUCAUUUAGUACUUACUACUAUGUAAUAGGAAUUCGUCUUAUUUGAGAACCAUUGGCAGUUAUAUCAUGGUUUAACAAAUUGUGUCGAUUGUUGAAGACUUCAAGAAUCGUCACAAUAUUUCGUGUGUUAUUUAAGUUUGUCAUGCUUUUGAGAUAAUAAAUCUUCGACACCUCAUUCGCAAAGUUCUAAGUAGGCAUACUUUCGAAGUGUUGCCGCUCUUGACUCUGGCUAAUUCGAACAGGUGUAAGAGCUUCUUCAUCAAUCGUUGAUGAUACGGUGCCUUCUAAGAGAUUCUAUGUAACCGAUGCACCUGGCAAGCCGACAGUAUUUCAUGCCACGCGACAGCAGGAACGGCUUUCCAGUACUCUUGCUGGUGAAGUGCCAAAGCUGGCACCUGUCACCACUCGUAGCGAACAUUCAGCUGCGGUAGCCGUGGACGAUGAGAAGGGCUACGAAAGCUCUAGUAGUAUGGAGGAUUUCGUUGAGGUCGGACACAAGCUUGCAGACGCGGCGCGAGCAAUUACUGUCAAAUACUUCAGACGUGGCUUUCAAAUCAUUGAUAAGGAAGACUUGAGUCAGUAUUCUUCCCCUUAAUAUCAAAGAGAGUUUUGAAAUGCUCAUUUUUAGUGCAUGCCCAGAUUCUGCGGUGUAGAAUAUGUAAAUUUUCCUGUUGUUUUUCAACAAAUUGAUACUUCCAUGUUGGAAAUUCGAAAACGGGUCACCUACCAGGAGUGUGUAAGAGCUCCGGGGUUAAAUAGCUUUCUCAACUUUUCCAUCUCCGUACACUGAAUUGAUUUCAAAUUGGCGAAAUUGAUCAACAUCAGUGACACGUGUCUUCCACAUUUUUCUUGAUCGCUUUGAACGCGUGCCAACGCAAAAUUCAAAAUGACACGAUUAUUGUAUUUACCGACGUAUCUAAAUUAGGGACUUGAACGUGUCCUCUACAUUUUUUGCUGAAAAAUGUCAAUGGUGCGCAGGUCCAGUGACAGUGGCCGAUCGAGAAACUGAAGCGGCUAUGUGCUCAAUCAUAACUCGGCACUUUCCGGGUCAUGCUAUGUAAGUUCUCUCUCGCCGGCUGGUGAUUUCUAGGUUAGCUUUCAGUUUCUUUCCUAUUCGAAUCAAAAUCAUGGUGUAUGUACCACCUUCCAUAAAUAUAGAAUGUGAUAAUAAUUGCGCAUACCCAAAAUCCUCAUGUCAAAAAUAAAACCAACUACCUAGCAAGUUGUGAGGUGAGGGGAAAUUUUAUGUACUGCUUUAAGUCUUAUAUAGUGUGUAUAGUGAAGAUCCAAGAAUUGCCUGACGUGUAGACUGAAGGAACUAUAGCAAAGAACACUGAAUUCGUGCGAUCAUAAAUCUCAGUGCAUGCUUUGUUGGGGGUAUUUAAAAAGAGAGUGUGUGUGUGUGAGAGAGAGAGAGAGAGAGAGAGAGAGAGAGAGAGCAGCCUAGAGGCUAAUACCAAGAUGUGACAGAUUUGGAGAGGAAGGAGGCUUGACGAUGCCUGAAGGAGGCUCUGAUUAUGUCUGGGUCUUAGAUCCCAUUGAUGGCACUAAGAGCUUCAUCACUGGUGACUACGACAUCUUCCUUUUAUUGAUGUUGUCUACCUUCUUUUUGCACGUUAGCAUUGGGGAAAAUUUAGAUGCUUCACGAUGUCGUAUUGAAGGCAGCCUGUUCAUGGAGUUCCCCUUUAUCCGAAGUGACUCACUUUUAAGGAACGAGGAAGUAGGCGAACGAGGCCGAUGUGGCGCAGACUUUGAUACUAUGUGUAUUCAGAGCUUGAAAAGAUCUUAAGCUUGUCAUUUUCGUGUGAUCGAAGAGAAGUUGGAGGGAACAUCUUGGGAAUUGUAGCUAGAGCUCCGAGCAUUCUGAAGCGUAUAAAUCUUCCCUAAUGUGCACAGGCUACUGGAAGCAUCCUACAUAACACAACUCACCAAAUAGAAUAUCUCCUAGAAUACUGUAAUGCCUCCAUCAUCACCAACAUUUAACUAAAAUAAUAACAAUGAAGGACACGAAGGCUUAAGGGCCUGUAAACAAACCACUGAUUUUUCUUCUUAUUGGAUUGCAGGGAAGCCAGUCUUCGGAACACUCAUCUCUCUGCUUCACAAGGGCUCUCCUGUAUGUUUUAAACCUACCCUUGUUCUUUUGCACAGAAGUUUUCCAUCAUCACCCUAUUAAAUUGAGUGCCUAGAACUGUAACGGCUGUAAAUGCUCUUUUUUGAGUAUUCCUGUGGCUCACUACCGGAGUGACGCUAUCUCUGUAACUCGCCAUGUAUUAGCAAAUUCGUCAUUCUGGUUCGAUUAUUUCGAAAUCCAUAAAUUUACAGUGCACGUUGGUUCACCUGGAGGAUGUAUUUAAAGUGCUGUAACAACAGGUUCUUGGCAUUAUUGAUCAACCUGUGCUGGGGGAGCGGUGGGUCGGAGUCAAAGGUCAAGCUACUACACUGAAUGGCCGCAGGGUUAGGACACGUUCUUCUACGGCGCUGCUCAAAGACGCUUACUUGUGAGCAUUUCUUCUGAAUACUUUUAGUGCCAUGAGAUCGUGUGCAAGUCGGGAAAAAUAUGGAUAAUUGCGGGAUGAUAGUUGACGACCUAUCCAAUUUAGCAGUUUUGGAGACUUUUGUUCAAUUUAGUGAUGUGCAAUAGUGAAACUCAUCAGUAACCGUGGUUGAUGUUGGUUUAUCCAUACAGUCAUGAUUUCAUUCUUCUGGUGUACAGGUACACGACAAGUCCCCAUAUGUUUACUGGACAAACAGAAGAUGCUUUCGUGCGCGUUCGGAAUGAGGUAUCAAAUCUCAGUAUACUUUAAUCCUAUCUAAUUAUGUUCACAAUGCAAGUAGCUUGUAGUAUUUUUUUUUUUUUUUUUUUUUUUUUUUUUUCUGUUCUUUUUUCUUUUUCUCCCCUCUUUCGGUGGAGCAUAAUAUGUCAGGCACGAACGACUUAGAUAUAAAGACGAUCAUAAUUGAUCUAUGCUCAAUGGCUUGCAUCUUCAUUUGGCAGGUGAAAAUACCCUUGUAUGGCUGUGACUGCUACGCAUAUGGGCUGCUAUCAUCCGGUCACGUGGACGUUAUAAUUGAACAUGGAUUGAAGGUAUGCAGUAGACAUCUUUAGAAUUGUUAUGUUUUCCUCGUGCCACUUCGCACAACCUAUGACAUUCUGUUCACUUAGAACAAGGGCAAUUCUGUACCAGUAUUUAUUUGAUUUGAUUUGAUUUGAUUUGAUUUUUUUUUUUUUUUUUUUUUUUUUCCUUCUCAGUAUCUGCUUCUUACUUGCUUUCAAUAUGUUUCUGAUGUGAGAGUUUUCUGUCUGCUAUUUCACUCAACAGCCAUAUGAUUAUUUGGCUUUAGUGCCAGUGGUGGAGGGUGCUGGUGGGACGAUUACGAACUGGAGUGGAGAAAGUCUCAAAUGGUUACCAGAAAUCGGUACAUUUUCUUCCCUUCUUGGGAUCUGAAUGCACGACACAGGGCGGGGAUAGUUCAGAGAAUUUGACCUCUUUCUAGAACUCAACUUGCUAAAAUUGGACUCUUUUUGGAGAUAUUUCAAAAUCAGGCAUGUUUAUUGCAUGUUAUACAAUCUCCUUGUUUGCAUCUUUUGUAUCUAAUUCGGAGAGAUUUGAUCUUGUGCACAUGUCCCUCAAAAUGUUUGAAAAUAACUGGGCAUGAGUUCUUGCGAAAUUGCGAUUACCUUAUUGUUCGCAAUAGUAACAUUGUCCUCCAUGAAGCUAUAAUAGGUUUGGAUCAGUUUUGUUUAUGCCUUCUAAUCAUAAAAUCCCUCUAAUUGUGGCAGGAGAGCACAGCAUUGGAGUGCUAGCUGCUGGGACCAGAAGUUUACAUAAAUCAGCUCUUUCCCACUUGAUUGGAGUACAACAAUCAUGUGCAAUGACAUAAAUGGCAUUCAACAUUUCAAACUAUUCAAUCUGUGCGGUAUAAUCUUUUUGCGCAGUAAAUUAGUUUGACUAGCACCCUUCUCCAAGUAGACAGUAGUAUUAAAUCCUCAUUGUAUUUGCACUUUUUAUAGCAUAACUGAAGUUUUAACCCAAAAAAAAUAAAAUAAACCAUACGCAUUUAGGCAAUACUGCAGAAUACUUCAUGAAGAAAUAUAUUCCAGUACCGACAGUCAAAAAUGAUAACUAAUAUCCAGUUUGCAAUAAAAUUUAUGUACAUGUUCCUUCUCAUUACUAGCAAACAGUUCAGUAUUCAAAGUUCAGUGCUCGUCAUGCCGAUAGAGUUGCGACAUUCUCCUGAAUUAUAGUUCUAUGAAACUCCAAUCAGAUAUGUACCCUCCAUCCGCUUGGCCAUUGUACCAAUCCAUUGUAGUGUCCAGAGACGUUCCAAAUCUGCUGGGCAAGCUCCUCUUGCAAUUGGAACCAUGACCAAGCUGUGCAACCAAGAAACACCCAUACAUCCGCUUCAAUCAACUUUCCCGAUUGCAUCAAUUGAAUGAGAUCUUCCACUGACUUGGCAGAGACUCCGUAGAACACGCCCGGCAUAACUUCAUGAAAAUCAUCUAAACCAGGAACUUUUGUAAGUACAAAAAAUGGGUGGCUCUGCUCUCCUACAGGGCCACCGAAACCUAGGGGUGCCUCGUGAAGAGAGUCUUGCCCUAUGGUCUUCGCAACAUAAUCCCAAGAUAAAGGCUUGUUAAGCAUAAGGCCACGAACAUCUCCAUGUUCAUGGGCGUGAACAAUCAGUAUUACACAACCAGAGAACACCGAAGUGCCAUCCAAGAGCGGUGAUGCAAGAAGUAGAGUGCCUGCUGUAGGGUGGCGAGCGUCCACUUCUGACUUGAAAAGAGUAGGGAUUUCCAUGCCUGGUUGUUCAGCACUUCCUUCGUAAAGAUGAGCCUCUGUCAAAGGAGUUGAUAAUCCGUUUCUCACAUCAGUGGGGAUUGUUACUGUAGCAGGAAUUUUCAUGGGAGAAGGAUCCUUUGGUGUGUGAUGCAAAUCUGCCUUGCUCCUUCCUGUACCUGAUAAGCACGACCGUGAUCACACAUAAGAGAUUAUGGUUCUGAAACACAUCUGUCGCAGCGACCCAUUUCGGUUCCCCAGUUCACAAAACGAUGAUUGGAGACUUCAUAUACUUCCAACUGCGUUGUGGGCACAACCUCCAACCAUUCCCAUGCUGUAGAGAACUGAAACAGUACUCUGCAGUGGAAGUCUUACCUAAAGUGAGGGAAUUUUUCUUGUUCUGAAAGUGUCCCUUAGACUGAAAAAAGUUGUCUGUAAACCCGGAUGCCUAACUGGCAAGGAGAAUCCCUGGCUUAUACCCACCAUUGAGCUCAUUGUGACAGUACUAGGCCUGAAAACGAUCAGCUUUGUAAGGCUCAUAUUUCCAGGUAAAGAUUACCGGAUUUUCACCCGCUGAUUAAUACGUGUCUCAAACUAACAAGUGUUCUCAAGGCUAAGAAAGAUCAUUUGUAUGGUUUCUCCAUACAAAUGAUUUGAAAAGUACCUGCAACCCUGCAUGCUAACUUUGAGGACGCCAUUCCAUUUGUGGCAAUGAAGCGGUAAAGUGAUUGUAUUUCAGGAGCGCCCUCAUAGAUCACAGGAGCAUGCUUCUUCUGCGCAGGGUAAAGAACAACAGCAGGGUAGGUUUCAUCCUGUCAACACGAAAAAGUACAAAGAGAUGAGAGACUUGCAGGAUGCAAAAGUUAGGUCAGCAAAAUAUACCAGGCAAGCGAUCAGAAAUGUACAUGCCUGGUCCAGAAGAUGCCGUAAGUAAUAAUCACAAUCAUUGAGGGUGCAGUCCAUUUGCAAAAUACUUGGAAGUCCAUCAUUGCGAUGGCUGCUGUUGGCUUCAUUUGGUUCUGCUUCCUCUACAUCGGAGUCCAAAUACACUCAAUGGUCAAAACCAUUCUACAAUUACUCUACUGACUUCCAGUGUACCCAAGUGAUCUACAUAUAUUCUCAUAUCUAUGCUUCACUGACAAGCUAUCUUUGCUGUUGGAAACUAUGAAAAAGUGAAAUAAUGUCAAGCAGAAAAGGAUAGCUUUUGAAUGCGAACGCUGCAUCAGCAAUAGAGCCCUCUUGCGUUCCCAAAUAAAGCAGAGUUUGCCCGUGGGAUGUCACAAAAAACCAUCACUCUGGGCAUUCCAAGCGUUUUGCAAUGCAUCAUAUGGCUCAUGACUUCACCAUCUAAUAUUGUACGGAGCUUGAAGAGGAAUCACAUAGAAUGGGAUACAUAUUUCGCAUGGUGUACCUGAAUUGCUCGCUUGCAGGUCUGCCACACGUGCGUCUCCCAGAUCCUAAGCAAAAAACGAUAGUAAAAACUUUGAGAACCAAUUUUGUAAAGCCUAGCUGAAUUGAACAUCUGAUAGGCUUGAGUUGAAACGAAGGGUCAACCCAUGAUUUAUGCCAAUUUUAGGGCACGAUGGAACUUCGUUCAGAGCCGCAUGUAGAGAGCAGUGUUUGAAUUAUAAUACUAAACCCUUCCAUAAAACCACAUCAAAAAGACAUAAAAAAUCCAGCAAGAACCCCUCCAUACAUUCAAGAUCACGAGCCCCUCUGAAUUCCCUAGGCAACACACAUACAUGCUUACAGGUUGCUGAUAAGAGCUACAUACGCACCUCGUCAUCACAACCAUGUACAGAUGAGCCCAUAUUGUAGUUUACAGCUCUGUAAACCUCCCUGACAACAAUCUCCAUCCGCUUGCAGAACCCACACCAUGGGGUUGUAAACAACACUACGACAUCCUUCCUCCAGGCUGGGGUCACUGAGUCAGGCGCAUCCACUUCACGUUGCUUGCUCUGAGCAUCAUCUGCGAAGAGAUUUGCGUAACGUAAUCCAAGAACGUCGUAAUCAAACGUAGUAACCGUAAGCCGAGGCACCGAAUUAUGGUCAUGAAAGUCACGGUUCACAAAAGGUGGUUGAGGAACAUCCAUAAUAGGUAAUUGAGGUGUCUCUGACCGAACUGUUUCUUCACGGCGACCAGAAAAACAUUGAUUUAUGAACGCAAUAAGUGACGACUGAGUUAAAGUUUCAAUUAUUGGAUGAACAUAAUGAACCUCAUCUUUCGGAAAUAUAACUACUACUGCAGGAGUCUUUGUGGUCAUGGCAAGCUUUUCCAUCAGCGAGUCAUCACCAUCUCGAAAGAAGAAAGAUAUUCUAGGGCUGACAUUGCUGGAAAGGACGGAGUUCUUUUGGAUCUGUACUAUUGCGUGUUGAGCAGACAAAUCCUUUGAUUCGGCAUCUCCAAGUUUAUCAGCUUCAGGAAAACUAUCACUAACAUCAAGUGCUUCACCCAAGUGCACCAGCUGCACAUUUCUUGGCAUAUCAACCUCAGCAUUAGCUUUGCAAACUUUAUGGUCUCGCUCUGUUUCCUUUCCCGAGCAUUCCAAAUCCAAUCCCAAGGAAUCUGCAGGAUGUUCGUCAUAUUCAACAGUCUGAUGUCGAUCGAUACCAAAGAAGUGUUCAAGCGGAUGAGUGGAUCUUUCAAUGUCAUCGACUGAAGAUUGAACUCCUGCAUGAUCAGUUCGCAAGUCAAGAUCAUCGAAUCCUACUUCACCAUUUCUUGAGCACUCUUCGUUAAUCCCGCUAAUCCCCACUCGCCCCUUUUCAAGGGUAUGCUCAUCUGUAGUUUUUCUUGAGCAGUACCUUCCUUGACCCUCAUCGUCUGUACCCCUAGUGAAAACCGCUUUCCCUUUUAAAUGGUGGUCGAGGUUAGAAGAAGCAACAAGCUCCAUAUUAUCCUCGACCUCAUCAAUGUUAACAGCAGAAUUUUCCUUAACUUCAUCACUUGAAUGUUUGUCAUUUCCAAUCGACUCUCCUAAAACCGUGUUCGACAAACUGGUGCCUCGAGAGCUUGUACCUAAGAGAAGAUUGAAUAAAUCAGACGCACUUAGAGUAGCCUUUUGCUUUCGGUGGUUCUCAAUAAGAUCCUGUAACAGACUAUGAGAGUCUUGGUUGUGUGCAACUGCUUUCAGUUCCAUUACAAAACCUCCACUUUCACUUUGCAUUUUAACGGCCCCCGAGUUAACGCUUUUCAGAAGACUCAAGAUAUCUGAUCUAUCCACCGUAAGCGAUUGAGAAUGCUGGUGUAGGCCCUUUGGAAUAGAUGCCUCCAAGAACUCCUCGGAACUCAUUUCUUUCUCCCAUAGUGUUCCCGAAGGUUGCACUGAAGUGGCUUCUUGAUUUUCCGGAUGGAACUUAUUCAAAGUUGCAAAAUGAAAAGCUGCACCUCUAGUGGUGACAAGAGCAUCCUGACUCGCUCCUCGGACUUCGGGAGAGGCGGAACCCCUAUUAAUGAAGAGCAGAAUGGACGGUUUAUCACUUAACAAGGCAUAAGAGGCAGAUACCUGUUGGUGAUAUCCCUCCCCUUUCAGCUGCAAAAACAAGACGCCAUCAAUUAUUCAGGUUCACAAUUACUCCAAGUAGCUCUACGAGGCUUUGAGUUCUCCCCAAGCGGGAUUCGAUUUAGAAUAUGAAAAUAAAAAUACAAAACAAAACAAAGAUCGGGAAAACCUUCAAGACUGAAAAAUGGAAGCAUACAAUCAUGACGAGUGUCUUCUCGAGCGUGUUACCACAAGUUUUCAAUCCAAGCGAAGUUCGUAAUACGAACCUCUGUUACUAGAGACGGAGAUACACUAGCAAUAAAGUCUCCUACGUCACCUUCGCCCUCAUAAACAUCAGGCACUCGGAAAGGCUCUUGAACUACUCCCAUCAACUUCCAUAAUGAAGAAUCCCCUUGAUCGAUGAGCCCCGAUUCAGCUGCAACUGACUUACUUGAAAUUAGGCCGAAUUUGAUUCUGUAAGGAGUCAAUGCAUUCAUAGCAGCGGCCUGGGUGAAGUUCUCAAACACAUUCCUACAGCGUCUCUUUUCAAGCUCCGUGCAUUCUAUGCAACUAGGGUCAACUCUUGUUCCAAUUUUAGUUGCAUUUGUGGACAUGGUAUCAACUGCUGGUAGUAUGACCUCUGUCCACGUGUGCAAGCCUAUUGUCGCCUCUGACAAAUGUGGUGGAGUGUCCAACACCAACUCCUCCAGAUCGUCAACUAAUUGUGCAUUCUUCGACGCGUGAGGACUAGGACUCUUCUCAGCACGAACCGCGUUUUCGUCACCACGUGAUUUAGGUCCCAAUUCAUCAUUAUGUUUCUCCUUCGAAAUGUCAGAUAACGGUGUACCUGAUAACGGCUGAUGUCUCAUUUCUUCGUCAUCACCAAUGCAGAGACCACAGAAAUCCAAGAAAAAGAAUACUCGAUCAGACGAUCCAGCAAAGGCUAUGACAUUCUCAGAGGUUUCUAGACGUUGUACCGGAAAACCGCUCUCGCUAGACCUCAUCCCAUACCGCACACCCUCUAAAAUAUGAGAACCUAAGAGCCUUCCCUUGUAAAGGAAAGGAAUUUCCUUGUGAAAUAGGAAAACGGAUGGUGACCGAAUUGUUGGCAAUGAUUUCACUGCAGAGCGAUCCAAAUUAACAUAGACGUAUCGAUAGUGUAAUGCAGUGAACUCGUCAGGGCUGUUCUUCACUAACGUAGAUAUUUCUCUAAUCAGGCUUCUGCCCUCACCACACCCUGCCAUGACGAGUCAAAAAGGAAUUGCGUCAAAGGAGCAUUUGGGAUUUCAUGUAACAAUUAACUCCAUGAUGUCCUUACGGUUUGAAGACAAAGUAAAAUCUCAAAAAACCAGCACGGACAUCAAACUUCCGGAAAUCACGAUUUUUUACAAAUGUAAACAUUCACAUGUAGAUGCUCCUCACAUGUAGAGAUAGAUAUGAUUUGAGUUCCUUGACAAUAUGUCAAAACAACAAUAUUACCCUGCAUAUAUCACCACAACCAUUGACCAUGCUAGUUUAAAGGAUCACAAGCCUGAUUCAAUAGACUUCAGAAUUGAUGAUACGCUGCUUGUUAGUGAACGUUAGGAUAUUCGAAAUUUUCAUUACGUGACUUGAUAAGAACAUAUAAACCAAGCCCGUCGUGAUGAAACCUUUGGUAAUAGAGAAGGAACUCAGAAUUCACGAAAUACUUACAGGAUAACAUGACGAUGCAGAGAGUGAAGGCGUUGCUAUGAAUAGACGUGAAAUUCUCCUGGGUCAGCCUUUUCCAUUGGAACAGUUCCUCAUCGGCAGUGCAAACAACUCGUCUAGCUCCGAGUAACCCAACCAAAGUAAUUAUCAUGCACCAAAAAAGGUGCACUUGCCUAGCCAUUCAGCCCGUGCAACAAUCAAACGCAAUCUAAGAACCUGACUCUUGCAUAUUCUCCUUGAAAAUUGGCACCCAAAUGCUCUAGAUGAUGCCCAGAUUGGUCUUUGUUCCGGUACCCAAGUAGAGGAACAAAUGCCCACUCGAAGAAGUUGAGUUGAUACUAACCCCUGCACUCUUCUUCCAAGUGAGGCACUCCUUGCUCUAGAGCACUCAAACAAGCUCACUCCUCAAUUUUUCCAUGCCUUCACCAUUCAGUACUACUUCAAUAGAGCUUGCUGCAGCAACCAAAGAUAAACACAGGCUGCGUUCACAGACCCACACCCGAUAAAGGAUCAAGCAAAAUGAAUUCAGUGUGUUUCACAACACUGCGAUUACAUUGUCGAUUGACUAACAAUACGUCUGCAUCGGCACAUGAUAACCGCAAUUACGUGCAUUUUUCUCAACACAAUCUAAUCAACAAUCGUGAAUGGCGUGUACAGUCGGGUGAUACAACAAAAACAGCCUCCAAUUUCGUAAUGCCCGAGCCUUUUUAACACUGACCUGCUACUUUUCGGCAGUAACUGAGCUUCCAUAAGGAAGCAAAAACACAGUUAAUAAAAUUUCACAUCCGCAAAUCAAUACACUCGUUUGGAGCUUCAAAAGCCGAAUAAAAAACUGUUCCGUGAAUCAUCUGGUGGGGGAAUCUCAGAUCCGAAAGAGAGUCACAAAACUAACGAAUUCACCACAUUUCGCUUCGAUGGAACCCGCAGAAUCUUCAGCAAAUUGAGCGGAAAACUGUGACUUCAAAACCCUAAAACCCCUAUUCUCACCUUCUCUCUCACACACUCACAUACACCCUCUAUCGAUAUAUAUAUAUAUAUAUAUUAUUAUUAUCUGAUGAUAGAUGGAUGAUUUGUUCAUUUUGGAUGAUUGUGUAUAUUCAUUCAUUCAUUUGGGUGGGCAUUUUUAUUAAGAUAGUUGUGUCCAUUAAAACUAUUUAUUGCCUCCCUUUUUUUUUAAGCAAUUUGGGAGGCUUUGUUUGUAGCAUGCCUUGAAUAUUUUUUUAAAGAAAUUUGGGAGGCUUUGUUUGUAACAUGCCUUGAAUAUUUAGGGGAAUGUUAAAUAGACUCAUGCUUUUACUAAAUCGACCCAUCUUUGAUGAAGAAUAUGGUAAUCAUAAUGAAUGUGGUUGGUUUUUAUUUGUUGCAAAUCCAAUAGUGGAAAAAUGAAUCUACAAGUCAUUAUUUUUUUCAUGAUGGUUAUGAUGGGUAGGUCAAUUUAGUAAAAACUUGAGUCUAUUUAACAUUCCCCAAUAUUUUUGCCUCACAUUUUGCAUGCAGUCAAUAUUUGGUGUUAAGGGUUUCAGGUUUAGAACCCUAAAAGUUGUAGUUGACAUGGUGGGUCAAUAUAUAUUUUGUUUAAGAUUAUAUAAUAUAUUGAAAACAAUGUGGUAAUUUUUUGAACUUCACUCUUUUUUUCUUUCUUUUUUUUAAUUACUUGUUUUUAAUCUGAACAUGAGAACAUGUGAAAAAAUGAUAUAUGAAAAUGUUUAAUUUUUAAUGCAUUUUACACAACACAAUACUACAGAUGCUUUCAUAUGGUUUUUGUUGUCACUUUUUAAAAGACAAAGUUUAAUGUCAUUGUGUUGUGUAGGACUCAUUGAAGCUUGACAUGCAUCCAUAAAAGUUCUUAAAUCCUACCAAAAUAUGUAAAAGUUGAAUCUGUAAGUUUUUCUUGUUGUUCGUUUGUUUUCUUUUUUUCUUUUUUUAAUACUUGAAUUUACAUUAUAUAUAUAUUAUAUAUAUAUAUAUAUAUAUAUGUAAACUUUUAUAUUUUAAAAAAAAAUGUAUGAGACAUGGGAAAGAGAGAAAUCUCUCUCUCUCUCUCUCUCUCUCUCUCUAUAUAUAUAUAUAUAUUUAUAUAUUUCACAAUUUAUUUUUUAAAAUGUUAAUAAUGUGACUGCUUUUUCAAAGUAAUUCUUAAUGUGUACCUCACUUCCAUAAUUUGUAAGUAUUCAUUUUCAAGCAUAAGUUGUCUAUAACAAUAACUUUUUACUAAUUAUGUUUGUUUUCAAAUCAAAUGAUGUAGUUUAAAAAUCAUGCUUGUACUUCGACGUGCUUCAAUUCUUAUAAGCCAUAGAAAUCUGAUGAUUUGAUUUUAAUAAAAAAUUAAUAUUUGUAUAAAAAAAUAUUCAAAUUUUAGUUUGCAAUACUAUUUUUUUUAGGUACAAGUCAUACUUUCUAGAAAAUUCACAAAUCCAAAUAAUAAAUAUUCACUGUAUAUUUAUAGAUGUAUAGUUUAUUGUUUUUUCUGUAAUAUCUAUAGAUGUAUAUAUUUCUAUGUUCAAUAUCAAUCUUUUUCAUUUUUGUCUAUGAAUACAUACAAGGUUUGUGAAAGAUUGAAGUAAUGUCUAAAACAUAUAUUGAAUAUUUUUUUACAUCAGGAAGUUUCCGAAUACUAAAGAAAAUAUAGAACUCUAAAUUCCAAAGACAUACUUUUACUCAUCAAAUAAAAAAAUAAAUUAGUCGUUAAGUAACUGCUACAAUUUGUGAUGAGAUAUUAUAGUUUCAAGAAUACAUAUUUUAUUUUAUUGUUAUAUUGUUAUAAAAACUAAUAUUUCCGUUCAUUACUAUUCUACAUAAUUCAAAUGAGUUCUUAUUUUGAUUUUUUGCAACUUUUUUAUUACCGAAAAAAACAAUUAUCCAUGAAAAUUGGUAUGUGCACCAUUUCACAAACUUUUCCUUUUACGACCUCACAGCUUAUUCAUGUAUGAGGCAUAGAUCAAAGUGUAAAAACUUUGGGAAAUUAUGACCGUCAAAUUAUUUUUUAAAUUAUUAUUUUUUAAAUUAUUAUUUUUUAUAUAUGUAACUAUUUUUCUCAAAAAAAGAAAAAAAUCAGAUAAAAAUUAUAGUUUAUGAAAUUUAUAAAAAUAAUAAAAAAAAAAACAAGCAAAACAAAAAAACAAAAUCACCACCACCAAAAUAUGGUGUACUUAAUUGUGUACUAAUUUGUAUGUUCUCAUGGUUUUUUUAGUUCUGAAUUUUUGUAUUACUUUGAUUCAUUGGCUGCAGGAUUUUAUUUUAUUUUAUUUUUCAAGUGGUUUUAUUUUUAGAAUAUGCACAAAAAUGCUCAAAAAAUAUGUCUUUCUUUCAAUAAUAUAAUAAAAUGACUAACUAUUGUAUGUAUUUGAAUAUUAUAUGGAAUGACAUGUCACCAUAGUUGAUUUUGCCAUUGUAUGACAUGCAAAUUUGUAGGUUUAAGUUCAAUUUCAAUUUGUAAGUUUUAUAAUUAAUUUAUAGAAAAAUUUGAAGAAUGAUUUUGUGGACAUAAUUAUUGCAAAUAGAAAUUAAAUAGUUAAUGUUAUUUUUACCCAAUUAGAAUCAUCACUGGACUGUAUACUCUAUCUUAAUUAAUAUCCAACUAUACUCAAACAGUUCGAAUGCAACAAUCCAAAAUAAAAAGAAACUUACCCAUUUGUAUAUUUAAAUGUGACAUAAAAAUAAAAUCAAAACCAAAACCAAAAAGUUGUUCUAUUACCACCUACCUUUAACAACCUCAAAGAUCAUCUUUUUCUUCUUUUACUCCUCUCUCUCUAUGUUCCUUUGUGGUAUGAGAUGAAAAAGUAUUGAACAUCAAAUCCUUACAUACUUUUUUCCAAGAAAAAAAUGUCUAUAAGAAUGGAAGAGAGUUGAAGAGUUUGACUUAUAAAUGGAGUUGUUGGCAAAGGGAGAGGGUGGUCUCGGACGGACAAUAUGGGCAUUUGAAAGUCCGUGUGGGGGCUUUAGCAAGUUUUUGAAUGGAUUGCCGACAAAGCACAUGGCCGCAAGGGAGGAGCAUGGGAGGGUUCUCAUUUGUGCUUUGGUCCCGCGAUACCGGACAUGCAAAGAUGGAGUGGAAUUGUAAUCCCUUUUCAAGCUCUAUCUCCAUUGGCAAUUGGGCCAUGGAUUGCCACUCGUGCUUCUUACCACCCAUCACAGCUGCUACUUUCAAUAGUGUUGGAAGUGCCUAUUUUUAGUUUAAAAAUCAACACACUUUGUAACAAGAAUAUUUCACUCUCCUUGUUGAAUUCACAAACUAAUCAAGAGAAAAAAAAAAUAUAUAUAUAUAUAUAUAUACAUGAUUAUAUAUAUAUUUUAUAUUUAUUUAUCUAUGAAAGUCAUAAUUGCUAGAUUCUAAAAAAUAGAUAGAUAAAUAAACAACAUUCUUACUUGAGAGCCGGCACAAAGGGUGACAAAUAAGGGGCUAUUGUAGGAUUGCCCCAACAUGGCACAACACUCAUGCAUGAAUUCAAAAGCUAUUGCAUCCCAAUCCAUAUUUGACAAAAUAUCUACAUAUGGUGACAUUUGUAGCCUCCCGGCCCACAACAAACUACCCAUCAAUCUUUGUAUCUCAUGCAUGUGGUUGUUUGCAAAACCUCCAAAUGAGCUUCUUGCAUGUUCUAGAGCCAACGCCUUUUUCCCUUCUACCAAAUAUUGCACAAAUUGAAGCCGUUGAAGCCGAAACUCUAAAGAAGAUUUCCUUUGUUGUAAAGCAAUGUGGUGUUCUUGUGCCCAUGCAAGAGCUCCGCUCAAAUCUCCCGCUUGCAAUUGUGCCAAAAUUUGGUGACUCUCCCAAAAUUGGGUUCUCAUUGACAAAGCACUUUCUCCAUGGGAUUCAGCCACAAAACAAUCACCGACAUCAAAAAGACCUUGCCGAUAAAAAUGCAAGGCCACAAGUUGGUUCACAAGUCCGUGGUUGAACUCCACGUUUCUAUACACUUUGCCAAGGUUGCGGUUAAAGCACUUGUCAAUCAAUUUCCCACACUUUGUCAUUGCAUUGUUUAUUUCUUUUAGGGGAGCCUCUGUAAAGCUUUGGGCUCCAAUCUCUUUUAGCCUUGCCUACAGACAAUUGAUUAAUCAAUCAAUUAAUGAGUAAAAGUAACGUCACAACUGUUAUGGACUCUCAAUGAAUCCUAGCACUACAGAAUGUGUGACUGGCCUAGGCAGGAUUUAAUUGAUGUAUGAGUUGGUGAACUCAUUUAUUUAUUUUUAUUUUUAUUUUUCAAAUCGAUUGUGACAUUGCAAAUUAGCAUCAAUAAUAAUAAUAAUAAUAAUAAUAUAUGCAUUUAUUUGUUUAUAAAUUAGUUUUUAAAAAGAUAAAACUAUUGUUUUUUAGGGUAGUUUUUGAACGUUUAAUUAAACACGACAAGACCAUGUUUUUUUAUAAAGCAUCCAUUUUUAUAAAAUUAUCACAAUUUUGCAAACAUUUUGUAAUACAUGGUGUAUUUGUGUGCAAAGGUGAAAAUUUUACUUCAAAAAAAUUCCAUUCCAUGAAUCACACAAUUUUGCAUUUCCAAAACAUAUUUUUGAAUUUCAAACUUUUUAGCUUAUGAUUUUAGAAUUUGGAAUGUAUGAUAUUGAAUAGAUAAAUUACAAAAAUUGUUUUCUACUUGUAACACUUCCAUGACCAAUUUUUGAUGAACUCCAGCAGGAGCCUCCUCAGGGACUAUGGAAAGUUCAAUAAUUGCAUUGGUUAUGACUUCCAAAACCUUAUCAAUAUCUUCUUGAGUCUUGCCAUACCAUGUCUUUUGUUUCUUUGAAGCCCGAUUGAAUGCAUUUCUCACAGGAAAUAAGUCCAUUGUUUGUUUGUGUUUGUGUGUACAAUGAUUUGUUAAAUUUGCAUCAUUUGCAUAUAAAAGUAUUAUGUGAUUUAAUGUCUUUUAUAUUUUAUUUAUUUUCCUAAACAAUAUUGGAAACAACAGAUUUAAGUAUUUUUUUUACUUAUUUUUCUACACUACCAAGUUCUUUAUGGCAAGGCUGUGAGCAAAAUAAACAGGAUAGAAAUGAAAAUGAAGACACUAUUUGCACAUACUGAAGAGCAGAUAUGUGAAUACUUAUUGAAAUUGAAGUAUCAAAACUGAUCACCUAUUAUGUGCCGUGGCAUUUGAAUCUAAACUAUGAAGAUGUAGUUUAUUUGGUUUUGAUAAUUAGAGAUCAUUUUCGACAACAUGUUAUUGAUUUCCAUUACAUCUUCAAAUGUAUUCUUGUGAUAUACUGUAAUGAAUUUUUAUUGCUCUUAAAAACGGCAAUUACUGAUUUUCAUUGUUUCAGAGAACAUCACUGGAUGCCUGUAAUAACCACCAAUCAAAACACUUGACACUACUUCUUUGUGGAAUUCAGCAUUUUUUUUUUUUUUUUUAAUCUUAUGAGUCAUGGUAAGAUAGCUGUUAUGAUAGCAUAUAAUUAUCUAUAUAUACACACAUAUAUAUAUAUAUAUAUAUAUAUAUAUCAGUUUGAAAUUUAACUCAUUCUACAAGUAACACGUUAAAGCUGUCCAUGUUUUAUACCUAAAAAUAUCAUUAUAAAUGAUUCUAGAAUUGAUUCAUCUUUUGAAAGAAGUUCUUCAAAAAAUUUAAAUAUAAUUUUGAAGAUGGGAAAUACUUUUAAAACUAUUUCUAAGAUUUAGAAUAUAUAAUAUAUCCUUUUAUUUGUUAAAAAGAUCAUAAUCGUCACAAAAAUAAUGAUGAUGAAAACAUUGAUAUUUGUUUGAGGUUAAUUUGACCAUUUUUAAAGAAGUUAAUAAAAAAACUAAAAAAUAUACAUGACUUAAAAUUUUAAUUCUUAGUAUUGACAUUGUAAUUGAAAUUCAUUUGUCUCAGAGUGAUUAAUUCGUGUAUUAAUGUAGUAGUUAUUCUAUGUUUUAUUGUCUUCUAAAAUAAAAUAAUCCAACAUAAUCCAUUUACAAAAAAAAUUCAAAUUUUCAGUAAAAAAUUCUACAUAAUAUUUUUAGAAAUAUUUAGGCAAAAAAUGUUCUUUUUCUUUACUUAGUCAAAAGGUGUUUUUAUCUACUUCUAUUUGGUUUAUUUACACAAAUUUAUAAACUAAGUUUCUACUAUCUAAGAAUAUCAAAUAAAUAGACAAAAAUAUUAGAAAAUGGAAAUGAAGACCAAAACAGAUUAUCUACAAGGAUUCUUUAAAUUAUUUGAUUAUAUUAUAUUUUAUUUUGUGUUUCUAUGAGAUACAAUAAACAUUCAAUUUUUUAUAUUGUAAAAUACAUAAUGUAUAAUUACAAUAGAUUCUCAGAUUUUAUAAAUACAAUUGAAUUAAAUUAUGUAAAAAAUAAUCAUGAUCAAUUAGUACCAUCUAUAUGUAUUUGAAAUUAAAAAAAUAAAAAUAAAUAAAUCCCAAACUUGAGGAAUUAACCAAAGAAUUGUUCUCAGACUAACAAGAGCAAGAUUAUGUAAAUACAGUUGAAAUAAUAUUUAAACCAAAUUUUUGUGCAUCAAUUAAAUAAAAAUAGAAAAAAAUUCAUCAAUGUCUUUUUAGUACAUACCAUUAAAUUUAAAACAUGUGGUCUUUUACGGAAAAACAUUAACAAAUAAAUAUAAUGAUAAUAAGUCAACUCUUAACCUUGGUGGUAAAUUAGUAGAUGAUUAAGAUGUUUUCUGAAAUCAAAACUUAAGACCUAAAAAACAUUAAAUUUUAUUUGAAUCAUAAAAUUGAAAAAAUAUUAUUAUAAACAUAUUUAAGAUGGUUACAAACAUUAAACAGAAAAAAAUUACCUUUGUACAUAGUAUAUUGGAAAUCCAAAAAGAUAUAGUUUCCUUUUUGAUUAUAUAUGUAUAUAUGUAUAUAUAUAUAUAUAUAUAUAUGUGUGUGUGUGUGUGUGUGUGUGUAUGAACAGGUACCAUAUCGUGUUUGAUUAUUAUUAUAUCUUGCAAGGAUUCAUUAAAUGACACUAAAUCCUUAUAACAACAAAAUAAUAAAAUUCAAAGCAAUAAAAGUUGCCAUUGAAAAUGUAUUUAAAAUAUGUUUUUUUUUUAAAAUGAAACAAACCACUUUACAAAUAGAUGGGGUUUUAUUUUUGUUUUAUUAUAUUUAAGUAAAAAUAUAAUUUUUUUUUUUUAUAAAUAUGUACUAGAUUGUAAUAUUAUCAUUAUUACCAUUAUCAUUUAAACGAUUUUACAACAGCAUGUAAAUAUCUAUACAUGAUACAAUUGAAUUAAUAAUGAUUUGAGGAGUUUAAAAUAUUUCAAUUUCAUAUAAACUUAAUAUUUAAUUUUUAUCAUAGAAGAUAUACAAUACCUUCUAUAUUUGAUAUUUUAUUCAGUAUCCAAGAAAAUUGAUAAAAGUUUUUAAAAUAAAAGCCACUUCCAUAUAUAUAUAUAUAUAUAUAUAUAUAGGUUUUAUAAAAUAUUAUUUUUAUUUGGUUUAUCUAUGAAUAUAAAUUAUCAUUUUUUUGGUUUAAAGAAAUAAGAUUAAAGACAUUAUUUGUAUUUCUUUUCAAUGCCCAAAAUUUUGACAACACACAAAGAUAUAAAAAAAUAAAAAUUAUAAGAAACAUUUCCAAAAUAUAUAUUUAAAAUUAAAAAAUAAAAUAAAAAUAUAUAUAUAUAUAUGUAUAUAUAUAUAUUAAUAUUUUAUUACAAAUUAGAGAUGGUUCAAGCUGUAAUUAAAUUCUAUUUAUAUCAACUUUAAUGUUUAAAUAAUAUAUUUUGAUUAUUUUAAAAUAAACAAAUAAUUUUUACUAACACUAAAUAGUGGUGAUGAUGGUAUCAAGAAGUUAUCAGUUUCAGAAAAUACUUUUAAAAGAAUUGCUUGUUUAUUUUGGUGCUAAUUAUAUAAAUGAGAAUUCAACAGAAUAUCAUAAUAGAUUAAAAUUUAACAAUGUAUCUUUGUUUAAAUUGGAACUAAAACUUAGGCGUCUUAUGUUAUUUAUAUGAAGUAAUGUUCUACUUGACUUAAUUGUUAGAAGACUUGUGUAGUAAGUAUAUUAUCAAAAUAAACAUAUUGGCACAACAUCAUACAAUACAACUGAAAUUCCUUCAAAUAAUAGCUUUACUUCUAUUGUUACUAAAACAAAUUAAAUAUUUUUAUUUUGACAAAAGCUACAUUUGUACUUGUCAGCGCCAUGCAUGAUGUCAAUAGUUUUUAGCAAAAGUUCCAACAUUGAAGGAUGUUGAUAUAAUAAAAAGAUUGAGUAAAGACAUAAUAAUAGAAACUACUAGUCCCUAGUUGAAGAAUUAUUGUGAUUUUACAAUAGAAGCAAUGAUUGUGAAACUUUUAGACAUUAUCAACACCUUUCAAGGGAUAUUUUUGGUGGUGUUAUGUAGAAUUAUUAUAUCAAAGGAAGUGUUUACAUCUUGGACACAUUAGUAUAUUUCUGUUAUUGUUCUAUAAUGCAUUAUUAAUCAACACAACCUAUUGACAAAUAUUUUGGCAACCAUCUUAGGGAUGGUCAUUUAAUUCAAGACAAUAUAGGUAGUGAGUGACAACAUGGCUAUUUGCUUAGAGGUACAACUUAACAAACAAUAUGUACUAAGGAGUAUGGAUCCAAAAGAAGACAACUCCUCAAGGGAAGAUAGUUAAGGCAAAUUAUCUCAUGAACUUAUAAAAAUAUUCAAAGAAAGCUUAGAAGAAGAAGAAGAGUCUACAAAGGAUCUCUUGAAAUAAAUAAAAUACCAAGUUUUGGUUAUGAAUGCUAGAAAUGAAGAAAUAGAUGUAAGGAUCCAAAAACUUGAACAUAAACUCAAAAUAUUAUUGUAUUAAAAGAAACUUCUAUAGUCACUAUAUAAUCAUCUCUAAUAAAACUAACCACAAGAAGAACUCACAUGCUUAUAAUUGCACUAAUUAUUACACUAGUUACAAUAGAAAUAACAAUGAUAUUUAUUAAGUUAAAAGAUGCAAUUUAAUAUCUACUAUUUCGAAUAAGUAAUGAUUUAGAUUAAUACCUUUGAUAUUUCAAAAAUAUUAUUAGAAUCAAUAUAGUCAUUAAUUCAAUAGAAUUAUAAAUAGAAAUUUAUAAUUGAUUGGACUUAUAGUUUUGAAAAAUAAAAUCUUGUUGUGUCUUGGAAAGAAAUGAAAAAAUUAAGAAGUAUUACGAGCAUUGAAGGUGAUUAAGCAAUACCCAAAUAAACUAGUAGAUUUUUUUUACCAUCAAUUUAAGAAAAUAUUGGACAAACCAAAAACACCAAUCAAUGAUUCUUUAAAAUAUAAUUGGUUUGAAAAGGAUUUAUAUACUUCACUUUAACAAAGAUAAAUUUAUAUAGAAAUCACCUUAUUACAUGAAAUAGUAGAUGUGGCCAUACAAACUUCUAAAAAAAUUAGUGAUAUUAUUAGUUGUAACAUAUCACCACCAAGAUUGAUACAAUACCUGCCUAUGCAUAAUAUAUUUAAUUAUUGGCAUCCAUUGUCCUACAAAUGAGAUUCUUAAAAUCCAAAAAAUUAUCUUGUAAAACAAAUACUAAACAAAAUAAUAGUAUUAAAACCAAAUGUGGUCCAUUGCGAUACAUUUUAAUUAAAUUAGUAGCUACAAAUAUAUGAUAAUUAUUGAAACUAAGGAUUCAUUCAAUAUUAUUGUUGAAAUUGUCUAACAUAUUAACCAUGAUGGCUACCAUUUCUAGUAGGGGGCCAAGAUUUUAGAAACAAUGUUAUGAUUUUUAGAUUGAAGGAUAUACACAUAAGUGUUUCAAUCAAUUUUGCAAUAAUAAUCUAAUUACAAAAAAUCCAAAAUUUGAAAAUCAUACAACAUUAGGUAGAACUCUAAAAAAACAUUUCUCUACAAAAUUAUAAGAGAUAAUUCAACUUUAGAAUGGCAAUACAAGAAGAACUCAAAACAAUAGAGUUGGAUCCUUGAAAUUGGCACAAUAUCUUGGAUACUACAAAAGUUAUUAUAAUAUUAGAUAAAUGAUUGGAAUUGAGUCUGGACUUCCAAAUGUAUUCACAACAACUAUGCAAACCAACUAUUAUGAGUCCAUAAAUUAUUAACAUUUAUGUUAGAAGCAUAGAUUCAGAUACUAUGGUAAUUCAUAUUUAGUUAGGAUAAUAUAAAUUAAUUAAUAUUUUAGUUGUUAGAGGUUACAAAGUAAAAAUUAUAGCUAACUACAUUCAAUAAUAUCUUUAGCUUCUAAAACAAAAAAAAAUCAUUUAUAAUUUUCAUGAUAAAUGUUGUCCACGUAAUUCCAUUAAAAAUUCUCAUUGAUGUAUGAAUUUUUAUACACGAUAUGCUUAUACUAGCUACUUUUGCAAUUAUUGAGAUGCCAUGCAACAAUAAUUAUCUUGUCAUUAUUAUAUUAAAAAAAUCUUCAUUACAAGACAUAAGUACUAUUCAUGAUUGGAGUAAAUAUUACUUAAUUUUAAUUAAGAGACAUAGAUACAUAAUAAAUCCUAUAGAUAAUUGUGUUAUAUAUUAGAAAAUAGUAAUUAUAAGCCUCAGAGAUUAACAAUAGACUAAGAAGUAUUUUUAUUACAUAUCGACAAAAAUCUAGUCUCAUUAGUAAAAAUCUAUUAAAUUGCAUUAUUGAUUCAAGUUGAAGAACGUUUAAAUAUUUUGUUGCAUUUUUCAAAAGAAAUCUUAAGCAUAAUUAUAUUAAAUAAGGCUUUGGCCUACUUAGUACUAUGAGAUAUAUCAGUUAUGAAAGAUUAUAUAACAUCAUUGAAUAUGGUCAAUUUGAAAACUAUAGAAGAAUCAAAGAAUGUCAAAAUCAAUGUAGAUAUAUUGAUUUGAAAAAUUAUUUCAAUAUUGAUAUAUUUUGGAAAGAAUGGUAUAUUAUAGAUGAAUUGUAGUGAAUAAUGAUACAUGGUUUGUAUAGAAAAUAAAGUACUCUUUUACAACUUCCAAAUGAUCCUAGGUUGAAAAGAAUCCAUUUAGUAAUUGUGGAAUUAUGACCAAUCUAAUUUAGAAUAGUAUUGAAACAAUUUUUUAAGUGUGAUGUCUAAUUUUUGGAUUCUAUCAAUUACUCAAUAUUACAACAUUCUAUCAUUAUCAAAUUUACUAUGAUAGUAUUAUUAUUAAUCUAAUGACAUAAUUUAUGCUUAUUAAUAGCUAUAAAAGCAUCAUUCUUAAUUACAAUUUCUAGUACAAAUAUAUUCUAAAUUAUCACAUUUUAGAAUCUUUUAGAAUCUUUUAUAAAUUUUUGAAACCUUCUAGAUACUUAUAGAAUCUUUAAUAAUCUUUUAGAAAGUUCUAUAGGCUUUUAGAAGCCUCUUUAGACUUUUAGACGUUUCUUUAGACUUCUAGAAACUCCCAUAGAAAGUACCAUAGAUUUCUUUAACUUUCAUUGUAGUAUAAAUAGGAGUCUAUGGAACCACUUUUGCUAUCAAUUUUAUUCUUUGUUUUUAAUCUUGAUAUAUUUUUUUGUCAAAUUCUUGUGUCAUUAACAACUUCUUGAAUAAUUAUGAGACCCAUUUCCUACUUUCUCUAAGACAACAUCACCUCUGCUCUUCUUCAUUCUUAAAAAUCUUAUGGCCAAAUUGCUUUUGAACUUAGUUGUAAUAAAGCUAUUAUCUCCAGGCUAACAAAAAAAAUCACUAUUAAUAGGAAAAACCUUAUAUUGGAUAGACCAAAGAAGCUCACUAUAGAAGAUGAAAGAACAAUUAUUUGCCAAAUCAAUACUAAGAAGACUGAAAAUUUUGUUGAGGUUGCUAAAAAUCUUAAUAAUAUUAUGAGUGAUCCUGUGUCAAUCCAAACCAUUCAAAAUAUUCUCAAGAAAUGGAAUAUGAAAGCUGUGGUGAAGAAAAGAAAGACACUAUUAUCCACCCGUCAUUAGAAACAAUGCUUGAAUUUUGCUAUGAAAUACAAAGAAUGGACUGUGGAAGAUUGGAGGAGGGUUAUUUGGUCAAAUGAGACAAAGAUCAACAGAUUUGGAUUAAUGGCAAAAAGUGGGUAUGGAAACAAAAAGAUCAAUUCUUGCUUGACAAGAAGAUGCAAAAAAUAGUUUUGUAUAGAGGUAGAAAUAUAAUGAUAUAGAGUUGUAUGGAAUGGAAUGGAAUUGAAAGGAUGGCAGAGGUUGAAGAAAGGAUGGAUGCUAAGAAAUUCAUGGAAAUUCUUGAAAAAAAACCUACUUCCUAGUAUUAAAGAAUCUAGCAUUUUUAAAGAGGAGGUGAUUUUUCAGCAAGAUAAUGACUCCAAGCAUAACUCAAAACUAGCAUAAAAGUGGUUUAAUCAUCAUGGAAUUAAAGUAAUGGAUUGGCAUGCUUAGUGUCUUGAUCUUAAUUCCAUUGAACAACUUUGGAAGUACCUCAAACUCCAGCUCAACACUUGGAAGAUAAAACCAAAAGGAGCUUGAAAAUUAAAGGAAAGAAUACCUAUAGAAUAGAAUAAUAUUGAAGCAAUUUUGUACCAAAAGUUAAUAGAAAGUAUGCCUAGGAAGUUGGAAGCAAUUAUCAAGGCUAAAGAAGGUCUUAUAAAGUACUGAUAUGUAAUUGGAUUUCCAAAAAAAUGUUUCAAUAUUGUUCAAAAUUUGAUUGGUCAUAGCUUUACAAUUACUUGAUGGAUUCUUUUUAACCUAGACUUAUUUGAUAGCUAUAAAAGAAUACUUUUUUUGCUAUAUAAACUAAGUGUCAUUAUUCACUACAAUUUAUUUGUAAUAUAUUAUUCUUUCUAAAAUAUGUUUAUAUUGAAAUAGUUUUUGGAUUCACUAUACAUCUAAAGAACUAAAAACAUCUUUUUUAUUCAAAAAAUUCAAACAUAUCUUUUCUUGGUCAUACAAAGACCUUAAAGAUAUCUCCAUAAUAAUUUCUAAACACACCAUUUAUCUAUUACUAGACAUAACUCCAAUUUAACAACAAUGUUAUUGUAUUAAUUUUAAUUAUGUCACAACAAUAUACAUAGAAUUAGACAAAAUAUUAAAAGAUAAAUUCAUAUUUUCUAUUUAUUUACUAUUGUAGCUCUUAUUAAUAAUAAUCAUUUCUAAAAAAAUAACAAAUUGUACAUUUGUAUCAACUUUAGGAAAUUCAAUGUUGCAAUACGAAAGGACUAUUAUUUAUUUUUUUAUGUACAAAGGAUAAUUAAUGAAGUUGCAAAAGAUGAAAUAUAUUCUUUUAUGGAUUAAUUUUUAGGAUAUUAUGAAGUAGCAAUGGUGGAGGCCAAUAAAAGUGAAAUGACAUUGUCAAUAAAGUGAAAACCUUUCCAAUACAAAAAAAUAUUGUUUGGAGUGAAGAAUAUAUUAAGGACUUUUCAACAAGUAAUAGAAUUUAUAUUUUGAUCUUUUUUGAAGAAUUUCUUUUGGAUAUUUUAUGACGAUAAAAUAAUAUAUAAUAAUGUCAUUGCCCACAUCCAAUACUUAUAAAGUAUUUUUCAAGCAUAUUGUAUCUAUGGUCUCAACUUCAAUGUGGAUAAAUGUAUGAUCUUAUUCUUUACAAGAAUAAUAGUAUAUUAUAUUAUAUAUAAAUAAGGUAAAUUAUCCAAUCUUUUCAAAAUCAAAGACAUCUUUAAUAUGCAACUCUUUUAAAAACAAAAGGAGAUGUAAUUUUUUUUGGUAUGGCUAAAUUCAAUUGUAUCUACAUCAAAUAAUUUAUACAUAUUAUUAUAUUCAUUAGUGCUCUAAAUUAUAUAGACUAUCAUUACCAAUUCAUUGGAUUGCAAAGGACUAAUAAGCUUUUAAAGCCAUCAAAAAGGUGUAUACUAACAUAUUAAUAUUAUUAGCCUGGAAUUGAUCCUUAUAAUUUAGAAUCCAUAUAAACAUUUCUAAUGUCACAAUUAGAAUCAUACUUGUUCAGAAUUCUACUAAAAAGGUUCAUCAAUUGAUAGCAUAUGUAAGUCAAUUAUUAAAUUAUGUAAAACAUAAUUAUUUGAUAAUUGAAUUGAAAACACUUGCUAUGAUAUAUACAAUUAUAAAAAAAUCUAUUAUUUAUUAGGAGAAAUAAUUCAAUUUUUCCUAAAUUAUUCCAAAUUAUUGAAUUUAAUAAAUUAGUUAUUAAUCAUUAGCCAUAUUGCAUAAUAGAUCAUGAUAUCAAAAACAUGAAUCUUAAAAAACUAAAAGAUCAAUAUAUUCUUAUAUUACUUAAAAAGAGUAUAUAAUCACUCAAAGAAAGUAUAAUAUUAAACUAAAAUGGCUAUUAUCAAAGGCAAGAAGUCUAAAGACUCUUGAGAUGAGACUAAAGAUUAAAAAGAAAUUGAUAAAAUUAAAGAAGGCUUCAAUCUUGCCUCCUAUAUCAUAAGCUAUCAAUAUGUGUGACAUGUAACUAAUUUAUUGGCCAAGUUUCUAACCUAAAAAUCAACUUUAAACAUAUCAUAGUCAAAUUUGUAUCUAUAAAGCUUAUAAAAAGCUUGAAUAUAAGAUAUUAUGAAAUCUAUUUAUAUUUAUCUUCUAUUCAAUACUUCAUAUAUAAGUAAAUAUGUAUGUUUGUGACACAUGAUCUUUUUGGUAUAUGACUUUGAAAUAGUCCAUGUUUAAAAUAAAAACUAUGUAGUCACUACUUAUUUAUGCCAUGAUACAACCACCAUUGAAGUAAUAAGCAUUAACAAUAUCUUUAAUGAUAUGUAUAUUCAAACAUCUAUUAUUUAGCUUGUAACAAUUAAUAUUGAUUAGCGUUCUCUAUAUAGAACAUAUCUCAUAAUUGGAUAGAAACCACAAAGAUUUACAUGUAUGCAUUACAUUAUCUUCAUCUAUCAAGCCUUAUCAUAUACUUAUAUAAACCAAUUCCUUUAUAAAUGCAAUAUAGAUAACAUGGUGCAACUAUGCAUUUUUUAGGAACAACAUCAAGGUAUUAUCAAAGAACCACAAAAAGAUAUGAUAAGAGAGCACUAAAGACCAAAAAUAUCUAUUCAAAAAAUCUUUAUAACAUGAUAUUGGUUGCCAAUUCUAUACAACAACAGAUACCAUUAUAUUAAGCAUUGCUAUAUAUGUCAAAUAUCUACUUCAAAUUUUGCAUAUCAAAGAAAGGUUCCAUUAUGUUCUUUUCUGGGACUUGAAUUAUUCAUGCAUUAUGGAUUGAAUUUCAUUGGUCUUAUAAAAUCAAAAAUAUCUCAAAUACAUAAAUAUAUCUUAGCAUCUAUAAACUAUAUAAUCAAAUGAAUAGAGGAUAAGGCUUUACACACCAAUUUAGUCAUCAUUACAAUGAUCUUUUUUCUAAAAAUAAAUUAUUAUUUAUUUUGGAUGCCUUCUAGAAAUUUUAUUUUAUUAAGGUACACACUUUGUUAACUAGAUUAUUGACAAUUUCAUCUGGGAUCACAUUAUCAAAUAUUGUACCUCUAUUGUAUAUUAUCUAUAAAAUAAUAAAUUAGUAAAAUCCAUCAACAAGAUGUUAUUGACAAUGUUAAAAAAAAUCAUUAUUACAAACCAGAUCAAUUGGAAUAUAUGUUUAUCAACAAUCCUAUAGGCCUAUUAAGUUGCAUAUAAGAACACAAUAAAAACCAAACCCUUUGAAUUGAUAUGUGAUAUACAUCUAUUAUUUCUAAUCAUAUAUAUUACUUCAAUAUUUCAAUCACUCACUUUAUGGAAGAAUACACUACAAAAGAUAUUGAUGAUUUGAUUGGUAGAUAUCCACUACAUUAAUAUAAUGAUGUUAUUCAAUUAAUAACUUGUAAUGAAGAAUAGUAUACUUGUAUUAUUGAGAGAAUCAAGGUGAAAUAUACACCUCAAUACUUGCAUCUUUUCUUUGGCUAGAAAUUUUAAGGCAUAGGCAUGUAAGACAAGGCUGUUUGUAAACAUCUUUAUUGAGAUGUCAAAUACUUUGUGAAAGAAGUAUAACAAGACAACUACAAGUAUGAUAUUUUUUUAGAUUAAAUAAAAGCAUUCAAAGCCAUAUUUAGAUAAUUAUGUAACAUAUUGAAUACCAUUUUCUUUUAUAAUAAUUAUAAAUGCAUUCAAGGGUAUCACUUAUAGAUGUACUUAAUAGUAUAUAUAAUAGCAAAAUAGAAAUUAAAACAUGAUUAUUGAAAAACACCUUUGUAUUGAAUUUUUCCACCUUAAUUGUAAUUUAUAUGCCAAUAAUUCCAUUGAUUCAUUGUUAAACUUGUAUAUCUGUCUUUACAUAAUAGACUAUGGUAAAUAUAAUGUCCCACCUUGAUUAAGGUCUAUAACUAAGGUAUUGAAGAAAUUAUAUUAGAUCUGUGAUCAACAUAAGCAAAGUACAGAGAAAUUAGAUAAACAUAAAAGAAUUAUGCUAGAUCUAUGAACAAUGUAAGCAAUAAAUGGAGACAUUAAAUCAAUUCAAAGUAAAGAAAUCCAAGAUGGUUUAGAUGUAUGAGAUCCACAUUAAGCCAUUGUCCAAAUGAUAACUUCAAAUGACUUGCUAUUUUUAAGAAUAUAUAUAUAUAUAUAUAUAUACAUCAUAAAUAUCCAAAAUAACAACCUACUUGAUAUCUUUUAUUGAAUACAACAAAGAUUGUGUAGUGACAAAUAAGACUAUGGAGCAAUGUUUCUAAAGUAUGGUGGAUUGCACUUCAAAAAUUUCCAUAUUGUGUAUUUGGAUUGAGAUGCAACAUCAUACCAUAAAUUAACACAAAUAUACUAUCUAUGACCUUCAAGAAUCUUUAGCUAAUACUAAAAUUAUGCUUGAAAUGACCUAAGCUACAAUUUUUGGAUGUAAAGCUAUCUUCCACAUCGCAUAUGAAUAGGUUAUAAUAUUAAAAAUUGCCAACAAAACAAUUAGACAAUGAAUCAACAAACUUUUUGCUACAAAUACUUAGUUGUGAUAAAAUAUAUAUGAGGUUGAAGAAUAAGAAAAGAUAACUAUCAAAGAAUUAAAACAAAGGACUGAAUGGAUGGGAGAAGAAUGCCUUGUUAUGGAAGCAGUCCUAUAAAAUUUUAAAGCCAAUCUUGCCAAUUGUAUUUAGGAGGUAUUAUGUAUUUUUGUCCUUAAUGCAAUAUGGUUGGAAAACAAAGUUCUAAUAUUGAGCAAGCAAAAAAAGAGAUGUUUAUACAAUAAUAUAUAAUAGACGGAAUGAAUACGUUAAAAUUAUUAGACAAAGAUAAAGGAUGAGAACUAAACAAUAUAAGGAUUGAAAAAAAAAGAUGUGAGUAUAUUAAAGAACUAAUCAAAGUAUGUACAUAAGAACUCUAGAAUCUCCAAGAUACAUCCUAGAGUCUAUGUUUCUAUUCUCCUAGCUACAAAUUCUAAUAUCAAAAACUCAAACAGAUACAUGAGAUGGAAAAACAAAUAUCAUCUCUAUAUUUUUACUCCAUAGUUUUUCAACAUAUAGUUAACUACCACUAAAAAGAGUUGUAGAUAUUAGACACAAAAUUUUAAGGAGAAAAAAAUGACAAGAAAAGUGAGGCCAUAUAUUAAGAAAAUGAAAAUUCUAUGGUAUUAGCAUACUUUUAAAACAAUUUGGACUAUGCUUAUUUGUAUGAAGAUUUAUGUGCAGAUGCAGAAUGCCUAUUAUAUAAUUGGUUGUUGGAAAAAAUGAUUUUUGAUAUAUAUAUAUAUAUAUAUAUAAGCAUUCAUCAAAACCAAAGACAAAAAUUAUUGCAUAUAUUAUAGUAUUGUCAAAGAUAUCAUUAAAUAUACAAAAAAAAAUCAUCUCCUUAAUACUUAAUAAAAUGUUCUACUAAGUUUUAAAAAUUCUAUUCUUCAACCAAUAGACACUUUCAAAAGUAAGAAAGAAUAAUACAUCAAUACAUUUGAGGACAAAAUGUAAGUUUACAAACAAGGAUAAAAUGCCAACGCCAUUAAUAACGUUAACAUUUUUUAGCAAAAGCAACAAUAUUGAAGUAUGUCCAUACAAUAAGAAGAAUGGAUAAAGAGGCGACAAUAGAAACUACUAGUAAGUAAUUAUAGCAUUAUUGCAAAUUUAAAAUAAAAGCAAUGAUUAGGAAACUUUUAGGCAUUACAAAUACCCUUAGAGGGACAUAUUUUCUUUCUUUUUCCUUCAAAAUUUGGAUGUUUAUCAAUUAGAGUUAUAAAAAUAGCAAGCUCGUUUGUCAUGUUUUGUAAGUAUUCUGGCUGGGUAGAACUAUGUAAUGUUUUAUAUUCAAAUGAAUAAAAGAGAGAGUAUAGAAGUAUUACAUCAAAGGAAUUAUUUACGUCUUGGAUGCAUCAGUAUAUCACUGUUACUAUUGCAUGGUGCACCAUUGACCAACACAAUUCAUGGGCAAAUUUUAAUGAAAAUAAAUAAAUUGUAAGGCCAAUCAUUGCAAGAUGCAAGUUUAGGACUUUAAACCUCAAUAUUUAUCUAUGACCAAUUGCAUGUAGCUCCAUUCUAAUACACAUUUUUAAAGUGCAUGAAGAUCAUUUAUCCGAAUAAUAUAUAUAUAUAUAUAUAUAUAUAUAGAUUUCUACCUACCUGACUACCUACCUGCCUCACGAAGAGAAGAGCCAACUGAGAGGGGAGGAGCCAGCCCAACUGAAGGGAGAGGGAAGAGGGACACGGGCACAGGGAGGGGGAACAUUGUGCCCGUGUCCCUGUCCCCAGUUUCCUCCCCUCCCCUCCCUUCCCUUCCCUCCUCCACGGUGACCAGCACAGACAGACGCACACACACUCCCACACACACACCUGGUCGCCGUCGUCUCCAUCCAUCCGCAGACCGUGACGAAGAAGAAGAAGAGCAUGAAUCCGCGGUGGAGGGGGGGUGGUGGCGGUGUGAAAGGGGAACAGGGGAACACUGAGAACAACAACAGCAUCCCCCCCCACUUCCCUUUCCCCUUCCCUUAGUCUGCACCAGACGAGGCGAGACGAAACGAGACCACUCCCACAAGACGAAGGGAAAAGGGAGCACAGGAGGAGGACGAGGAGGAGGGAGAGGGAGAGGAAAGGAAAAGGGAGGGAAGGGACAGGGAAAGCGGGAGAAGUAACUUGCCUUCCCCCUCCUUCCCUUCUUCCUUCUUUCCUUCUCAUUCCUUCAUUGCCCUGUCUUUCCGUCUUCUUCUUCUGCUUCGUCGUCGUCAGCACCACAAAUACUACACCCAACUCCCGCUUCGGAUUGGACCUUUGCACCCACCCACCCAGACACCCAUCCAGCAGCAGUAGUAGUAGUUGCAGUAGUAGUAUCGCAGGAGGAGGAGGAGGAGUCAGUGGGGGAAGGAGGAGAGGGAGGAAGCAGCAUUCGGGGGCACAUUUAGGUUAUAUUGCGUUAGUCGCGGCGUGUGGCGAGGAAGGGAUAAAGCGAGAGAGAGAGAUAGAAAGCCAGGGGCUUUGAAGGAAAGGAAAGAAAGGAAAGGGUAGGGACAUAUAGGGAAGAAGACCAACGGACGGAGUUUGGCAUGCGGAUCACCACGGCAGGGCAGAUUCUCAGGUACCUGAAGAAGAAGAGCUCUGGAAGAGUUUGAUUGACGUUGGGUCUUAGAGAGAAAAGGAGUGGCAGAGAAGAGUGAGAGGAAGGGAGCGAAGAAAGUGAAGGAAGGGAGCGAAGAAAGUGAAGGAAGGAGAAGAAGAAGGGAAAGUGCUCGGGGGUAGAGGGAGUCUGAGAAGAGUACCAGGUUUUUGGUUCUACCUAGUCUUGAGGUGUUUGUGGGUUCGACGUUCUUGAGGUGCUCUUGGGCGAGUUCCUUUCAGAGGGCUAAUUCGGGCUGGUACAAAGCAAGCCAUUGAGAUGGUGUAAGCUUUACUUCGAGUUUCUGUGACUGUCUUCAAGUGUCGUUGCGAGUCUUCCCGUAAGCCGAGGGUUUGCGACGAACGUGCAAGUCUUCUGCUUGAAGCAGAGUAGUAAAUGGUAGGCGAAACAUGUAAGCUUGAAUGAUGGACUUGUUGUAGUGCCUUUUUGCUCAUUAUUUGCUUUGGUCGCAUGUGUGUGUCUUCAUAUUUGCUGACUAUUGGGAGUUUGAGUGUGUUCUUUAAUCAACACCUUCUCGGUGGUCGACUAAACGGGCAUAACUACGGUGUAUUGAAAAUUCGGUUUCUCAUUGUUACUUUGUGAUUCGUUACUAAUGCAACGUUUUGAUUUCAACUUCUGUCGGAGGAUACGACCUUUGAGCUUCGGUAUUGUUAAUAGUUUGGCAACUGCAUGUUUACCUCGCCUCUCGUGAUUUUGAGGUGGUUGCGUAGGUUGUGAGCUGUAGACUAGGAUCUUGUUGGAGCUUACUAUUGACAGACUUCUUGGUAACAAAUUCUGGUUGUUCUGUUAGGUCAAGGUCAGCCUGCUUGCUAUGUGGCCAUCAAGAUGCUGGUUUUUGAAAUCGGAUCAUUUGGGAAGGUCCAAUGCAAAUGGGAGAACUACAUCAAUACUGUCGUUGUAACUAGUAAACCGCUUCAUGCCUUGCAAUUAAGGUGAAAUUAGAAGUUAAAAGAGUAAGUUUUGCUGCCAGUGCCGUCUUUUAGUUCUUUGUCCCAUUUCGUGCUAUUUUCGACGACCGCACAGAGUCCAGCAAAUGUCGGGUUCAAAGUAUCCGUGGUUUAAUGUUUUAUCUUUAUCCCGGCCGCAUUUGUUAAAGAGUAGUGGUAUCACAUCUAUGCAUAGAUUUACAUUCUUAGUCACUACUGGCCUUACACAUUAAGACGCUACUGUAGAAAUUCUGUUAGUCCCCUAAUAUUCCAAAGUCGUAAGGCAUCCUCAGUUUCCCUUGGCCACUCAGUAAGUUCUUCGAGUUGCAGUAGGUGAAUUUUGUAGCUGCUGCGUAUUCUCAAAAAAUUGGAGGUUUUGGCUGGGGUUCAUUUGUCAUGGGUAGAGCUUCAACUAAACAGAAAAUUUUAUCUAGUUACGUGGGAAGUUCUUCUUAUCAGAAGAGGGUAUGUUUGAGUGCCAUACAGCUGAAUUGCAGCUAGGAUGUCUGAGGCUUACAACAUCAUGAAGGUCUAAGUAUUUAUAAUUUCGGUCAUAGUAAUCAUAUAGAAUUCUUUUAGAAAAAUAUUGUAAAGUUAUAUAGUCGCCGGAGGCGUACAACAAUUACAUCGCUAGGCAUGCUGAAGGAAAGGGUAAAAAACAUGCGUAACGGGUCGGAGAUGAGGCUGGAUACGAGUGCUCUUCAAUAUCCAGACCUAUGUAAGGUCUCGAGGCGUCUGCUUGAUCGGGACUUACUUGCAUCUUUCGAUCAGGUGUGCUCCCACGUAAUAGAUCAUGUCUAUGUGGGCAGUGGCACUGUAGCCAGGAGUCGCGAGAUACUGAUGGAAAAUGGAAUCACGCAUAUUCUCAAUAGUGCCGGCUUUGCUUGCCCCGAGUAUUUUCCCGAUGAAUUUACUUACAAGACCUUGUGGCUCAAGGAUAGUCCUUCGGAAGACAUCACUAGUGUCUUGUACAUCGUUUUCGACUUCAUUGAGGCGGUCAGACAGCAGGGCGGUCGUGUAUUCGUGCACUGUUGCAAAGGAGUUUCUCGGUCUACAUCUUUGGUGAUUGCCUACCUGACAUGGUUGCAGAGGUGCACCUUUCAAGAUGCAUUUAACUUCAUCAAGGCUGCUCGAGCAGUGACCAACCCUAAUCUCGGAUUUGCUUGUCAGCUGCUGCAAUUUCAGAAACAGUUGCAAAAUGCACCUGCUCUGAACAACAAGCUUCGUGUAUAUCGCAUGGCUCCCCAUUCUUCCCACGACCCGCUGCUUUUGGUGCCUAAAAAGGUCACUGGUCCAGAUAUUCUCACAUUCGACUCUCGGGGUGUAUUUGUAAUCCACGGACAGAACAACCUGUACGUGUGGCAUGGACAAGUUUGUGAUGCGCGUAUGGCCAAGGCCGGGCAUGAAUUCGCACUUCAGCUAAUCCGGUAUGAGCAGGUAGAGGGUCCUCCUGUAAAUAUCAACGAGGAUGAUGAACCUGCCGAUUUUUGGGAGCUUCUCCGAACAGGCGUCUUUAGUAGAACUAGUAGUGACGUCUCGUCUUUUGGAUCUGAUCUGCCCCAGAGAUCAGCUGAAGAAUCGUCGUCGAGUGCGAGUCCUCACGUAGUAGAUGGGGAUGUGCUUUUCAGGCGUCUGCAAGGGUUGUGCCCCGGUGAAGAUAAUGCUUCAUGUACUACGAAUGCAAGAGGAUGUGAAGACUCUGAUGGUGAUUCUUCUGUUGACGGUAGUAGCACUGGUCAACAUGAUCAGAGUGUUUCUGGUGCAAGGACUCUCGGUCAAGUUUGCAGGCCAUUGAAGACACUUUCGAUAUAUGACAAAGAUUUUGAGUUGUUUGAAUCUGCUAAGGAUUUGCCUGUAAAGAAUGAGCCAUCACCUGUAUCUAAGGACAUUUACGGAUGGAGGCGGUUGAGAGGAAAGUUCUUUUCAGGACCGGACAGUAUUGAAUCUGUUCCAUCUGGAAAUGAAGGGAUUGUGGCGGCGAUACCUUCCCCCUGAGUAAGUCGCACGAAGAAUCAUGUGUGAGCAAGGACUUCUAUUACAUGAUUUGCAGACGAACCACGAUUACUCAGCUGGCCAGCCCCCUCUCUUCCUCUCCCUCCCUCCCUCUCUCUCUUCCUUUCUCUGGCAUUGUCAAGCUAUUUCUGCACUUUUCUACUCCGUAAUAGAUAAUUCCAUUCGACUCUUCACAGUCUGACAAAGACGUGGUUUAGACAAACCGGCCUUCAUUUGGUCACGGUUUCUACACAAACCAGGUGGCACAUUUCGUUUGGUGUCAUCCCAGCAAGUUGGUCGUCUUUCUUAAGGGAGGAGCAGCUUUUUGUCCUUAAGAAUCCUGUCUCGACGAGGGAUGCUUCAAUGAGCUCAUGACCAACGAGGGGUUAACAAUGCUGUAGUCAAGAUCCAAUUAUCAGGUGCAGAGGGAUUGCUACAUCGAUUCAAUAGGUCUGGCCUAAUUUUGAAACCUACACUCUUCUGGAGAUUGAAGCUACAUCAAAAUUUGGCAUACCAGGUGCAACCUAUUGAUAUACCAUUAGAUCAACUUUCUUAAUGCAACCAUUCUUUGAAGCACAACCGUAAAUUCAGAAGUAAUCUGAGUUGCUGCUUGCUUGCAGAUUAUUUUCCUUUUCACCAGUUAUGUAAACCUUUUCACCUUAAAUUCCGUGUGGCUCUCAUUGGAGUUGGGACAUUCAGUGAUCUCUUGUCUUGAAGUUCAAUAUGGUUGAUAGCUUUCAAUUCACGUGAAGUAUGUGAUUACUACAUGCAUUUACCCUCCGAUUGACCAAUUUAUCUUAGAGUAUGCGGUUGAAUGUUAAUGAUGUCGUCGACGAAAAAUGUUUGCAAUCCAAACAAUGUAUGUUUUUGUUAGACUUUGUGUGGCUUGACAUAACAUGUUUUCCUUGAGAUUAUUAUUGUGAAUGUCUCCGAGUAAUAUGAGUAAAGAGCAAAACUUUAGGUUGUGAAUGGAGUACCUUAUCAAAUUUUGUCACAUUAUUCCCAUCGCAAUAUAAAAAUUGCUUGUGAGUGGUGCUGUUGUUGAAGUCAAUCUUUAUUCAUUCUUGUAUUAUCCCUACACGUUUUUGAAGAUGGGAUUCUUACUUUUUAAUUGUGUGUUGAAUGGGUGGGUGGUUAAUUUAGGAAGUUUUAACAAUACCAAUUUGAAGCAUUUUUCCAUUUCAAACUUCAUAAUACAUCUUUCUCCCCUACUCUGCUAAUCUAAAGGUAUUAACCAGGGCUAACCUUGAUUGUUAAUUCUGAAAGCACCGACUUCUUGAAUUCAGUUGGUAUCAGUUCAGAGUACAUACCACUGUUUUUGUGAAAUGUAAAAUUUUCAGAGAGAAAAUGGACAAUUUUAAUAAUAAAUCCAGCAUCAUGCUUCUCUUUAAGACAUAACGUACACCAUAUUCUUGACACUGCCAACAGUAUGAUUGUUACUCAGGCUGAAGAAUACCUGGAUCUACUGCAGUUAAUUCUAAUUUGAAUUUAUCAUACAAAAUUCUAAAACAAAUGAGUUGGGCACUGACUUUGAGACCUCGAAUGAUCGAUCACUAUCUAUAUAAAAACAUUAGUACACUCACUGAAGCUCGGAUUCAAGUUGUCUGACAAAUCCGGGUUGAACUAGGUCCCGAAACCCAUCACCCAAUUUAGGGUUUAAGGUCAAAUCCAGAAACGGGACAAAACCAUACUUGUUUGUGCGUCUUGUGAAGAUCGAUCAAGUGACGGUGUAGAGUGUGGACCAUCCGUGGAAUUUCAAAGGCGGGAUGGCUCUCUCCCGCCUGCAGUAUGUGACCGUUGUGGCUGGAUUCUCCGCCUUGUCUGCAUGGUAAACUUCGCCGUUUUCCAGUUCUCCCCGUCUCAGAUUAGGGUUCAAUUGUAUGCGCCUAAUUGCGCAAACUUGAAGUAAUUCGUGGUUGCUAGUGACACUCGAGGGGCCGCACCUGUAGAUUUUUCUCACUGAUAGGGUGUAUUGAGACAGCAGCCGUGAAAACGCAAAGUUCUGAUGGCACUUUUGUGGUCGUCACUCAGGUAUGGCUUCAUGUUUGGCAAGGAGUCGGCACGAAAGGAGCUGGCGGACAAAGUGAGCGAUUUGAAAGCUACGAUUCAGAAGCUUGAGAGCCACGAUAAUGCUUGAGUAAUUGAAUGUCGAUGUGUUCGACGACAUAUUCCGGGACUUGUAGUGGGUGUCGCAAAAUCUUUUGCGAAGUCUAUCCAGAUUCAGGUUUGUUGAUUACCACACUGAAGAAUGUGGGCGAUGAAUAUUGCUCUGCCCUUGAUGGUGAAGGAACUUGACUACCAUUAUCGCAGGUUAAUGUUCAAACCCUGCUUAACACAAAGCUUCAACACAUAUCCCGAACAGGGCGGUGCUACGGCGUAGAACGAUCUAGUAGCUUCCGGAGAUAAGAUGUUGUCAAUCAUAUUCAUUGAAAAAGCGCAACUCCUUCCAGUAAUUGUUCCAGUUUGCGUAUUUGAUGUUGUAGCUUUCUUUGCGUUGUUAUUUUUUUUAUUUUUUAUUUUUUAUUUUUUUUGUCCUCGUCAAUUUGUUCAGAUGGUCGUAUUGGGAUGUCGCCAACUCGAGCGGAGUUGGUAAUUGCAUACUAUUGAUUGUUGAAUCACUACUUAGUACAGGGUUGAUGAAAAUGAUCCGAGUUCAGGAGUUGCCGUGGCACGGGGUCUUUCUCCAAUUACCAUAGUUUAUGCAGGGGUUCUGCAGUUGAGCAAUGAUCUUGAGAUAUUACUUAUUUUCUUUAUUUGCCACUAGGUUAUUCCAAGGCCACAACAUUUUUAUAGUCGGGAAGUGUAUUCUAGAGUCGACAGUUGCGUCUAGAGCUGCUGUAUUUCUCUAAUAGUAGAAGAAGUAGAGGCAAGCAAGUGUACCAAUGCCUUCUGCCAGAUGUCUAGUCCGUCGUGUGCAUCUAAUUCAGCUGAAGGUUGCAGUUGUUCUAGCAACUUUUCUGUGAUGCUGUCAAGCAUUAUCAUGAUCUGGGAUGUCCAAGCAUUGGGUCUACCUUCUAGCGUGCUCUUACAAUGGAAAUGGCUUGUUACCCAUUCCUCCAGAAUUUCUGUCAAGCCAAUGGAUAAGUUAAGUCUUAAAAUAAAGGAAACAAGAACUAACAAUUGGUAACGAACUUAAGUAAGCAUAAAGUAACACUAUCAUGUAGGUAUCCGGGUAGUGCGCAUACCUUGUUCGAUAUUGUUUCCAUCCUUCCAGGACUUCAAGUGUGCUGAUACUAGUGUUUCAAUCAGCUGUAUCCUGUAAAUUGCAUCGAUUUCACAUAUUGGAUACCUUAAGCGAUUAAAAUAGCAUUUCUGCUUGUUUCUGAAAAGACAAAAGUAAACAGUGGCCUGCAGAUUUUUAAAAAUCGUGCUUCUGGAAAGAACUGGAAAAGGUUUUCAAUGGCGUCUCAGAUACGGUAGCAUGGUCCAGUUUUUAGCCGAGCUCGUAAGUCGUCUGAGUAUACUUACACGUAGAAAAGAUUCUCGUAUGCUUGAGAGAACCCCUCGUCAAAUGGGUCCGUGCACUGAAGUCUCUCCAACACCAUCGUCAUCUGUUGUGAUGAAGUCAAAAGCAUUCGAUGUCCUAUGUAUGCAUACUCCGCAAGUCUCAGCAUGACUACGAGCGUCUCCUCCUGGUCAUCUCCUUGACUAUCAUCUGGAGAAUGUGUUCCGUGAAAACUGAUUGUGAGCAUGAUAAUACUUGGAUUACCGUAGUGUAACCGGAAGUAGCUUUUAGUGGUAGGAUUAAGAAUUGACUGUUCAUAAAAUGUAUCGUUCAGUAAUGGUAAAGUAUCAAAUUUUAUCAAAGCAAUAAUUCUUGCUGGAAAGGCUUGGCACAGAAUUUUUACCUUGGCAGCUGGGCGUGAAGUUGAGCAAAUUUCCCACUAGAUCCAGGGCCAGUUUCUUCACGAGGUUGUUGACAACUAGAAGUUGACUCUCCUCGCAUUGUUCUCGACGUAACAAGGGAAUUGUGUCUGCACAGUCAAAAGAAUUGUAGCAAGAACACAAGCGACAAGUCCGACGCGUUUACAUUCCUGGAUGAUUUUAUUUCAUCAGAACCACAAAGAACAAAUAACUCAACACCUUCGAAGGUAUAGAAAAUCAAACGGAACCCUCCAGGAGGGAGCUUCAAGGUAAGCUUGACCUUUAAUGAAGUCCACAGCAUGAUGAAUGUAUGCCUCGGAGUACCUUCCUUUCAAGUGAAUCUGUCAAUAAUCAGCUUCAUUGAGCAUCCAAGCCUCACACAGAUUGGAAAGAGGUGUGAUGUACUCCCAACGUCACGUAAACAUGGACAUUCAUAAAAUGCUAUACUAAGUCGGUACCUUCUCACUCCGAGCUUCAAUUUUUUACAACCUAUUUGUUUUGUGUAAAUUAAUUGAUUAGAACAUCUAAUAUUUUCCGCAAAUAAAAACCGCAUGAUUCCCACAUAUCUUUUUGGAUUGGAUACUCACUGAUUUUGCCUGGCAGCUCAGUAACUCGAUGACGAAAUCAAUCACUAUGGCCAAAUUCCCUUGCAUUUCAUCUGUACAGUUAAAGGCCGCGAAGCUCCUAAACGUCACGAUCCUCUCAGAAAUUAUCUGCAUCACUUAGUAUUUCUCAAAAAGAUUCAUCAUCAAAGAUGCUUGAGGCCAUAUUACCAGAAUUGUCGUCUACGCUCUGCAGCUUCAACUUCCGCAGAACUCUCACUGCCACAAUAACGCAAUGAUCAACCUUAUUCCAACAAAAUAAUGCACAUUUUAUUGACUUGUUUACAUGUUUAUUUAUUAGUAUCAUCAAUUUUUUACUACUCAUAUCUCUCUAACUUGCAGCGAAGGGUUAGGAAGGAUGAAAAUUACCAUUUCUCAAGAAGAUUUGAACCGCGCUUUGCCUAAUGUAAUCACCGUAGCUGUUUCGACCCUCAUUCUGUUCAUUACCAGCCGACUUUAAAAAGUGACACUUGCAAGGGGCAAGCAAUGGUAGUCGAUCCAGCACAACUGCACCUGCCCCACAUUACAUCCAUCACUGUCAGAUAAUCAACAUGUGAAUUCUUUUUGUAAGUCCUUAGAGUUGUUUUGAAACUUGAUGGUUAGGUAAUGGACCUUGCAACUCCUCCAACUGCUUCGUCACGACGAUGUACUUCUCUUCCAAUACUUCGGCCUGCAACUUCGAGACACAGUUACGAAAAUUUCCGAGUCUCACUGAACGAUUCAGUAAAAGAGAAAUGUGUAAAAAGUUCAACCCGAUAAUGGCCUCACCAUUUGCAUGAUAAGCACAGAAUCCAAUUCCAGUUCAAUAUGGCACCGUUGAGCUAUGCAUUGUAAGGACCGCAAGAAAGAUACUCAAGUGUCAUUCAAUAGACACACAAGGUGAUCAACUGCUCUCAACAAGAGUGACAGGAUUAGUGCCACAGCAUCAAGUGGACCACGCAAAGAAAUUACCACUGCUCAACGUGAUCACCAACCUUUCUUCUCCACUGAUUCUCUUCUGCUCCAGGAUUCGAGCGAAUUGAAGUUUUCCACAUUGCAAGAGCCACCGCAAGCUUCAUUCUCAUUUCGUCUUUUCUGCUCUUGGAGAUCGUCAUUGAAACCGGAGUGAGGCAACAUUCAAAUUGACGGAUUCAACUGUGAAAUGCACGCAGAAAAACAUGAAAUGAUGUGACAAAUCCCUGCAGCUGGUGAUGUUGCUCUGGUCGAGGAAAACUCGACGGAUGGAUGAAAUCCGCAAGAAUGUGGUCAGUCAUUGAAGCAAUGUGAAGUGGCGGGGUGGAUUUCGAAGCAGCAGGUGAAGCGAAAGCGACGGAUAUGGACGAUAUCUAUCGAGUGAAGAUGUUUGAAUUUAUUCUGUGAAUCUGGUUUUUUAUGCUGAUAUUUUCGCCGAAUUCGGCGAUGGUGAUUCAGAGCGAGCAGCUUUGAUAGGAAUCCGCAGGGCGUCGCUGAUGCUGGCGUGGCAGCAUCAGUCGCUGUUCUAGCCUCGCAAUUGAAACCUGCUAUCGAAGAGAAAUUUGUUAUGAUCUUGUUGUGCGUCGGGAGGAUCUCGAGGAGCGAUUGAAUCUACGAGGAUUAAUCCAUUGGAAAUUGUUGGAGGGCAAGAGGUGAAAGGGGAAGGGGACGGGUUUAAUUUGUGAAAGUUCCGGAGGAAGUGAAGUGCGUUAAUUUGGUUGAGAAUAGAAUGGUGUUAGCAAUUUCACUUGUAUCAUUAAGUGUGGCCCUGACAACUCAGUCAACCUGCAUCGCAAGAUCUUGGACCGUAGGACUGUAGCUGGUUUGAUCACCGCAUAUCUUCUUGUGGUUUUGUCAACAGCGUUGUAAAUUAAUGGAAUCGUGGCAAGUUGAUAGUCAAAUCUGGUCAUAGGAAUCUCAUAAUGUUCGCUGUUGAUGUAUAUUGAACCCUGCAUGUGCUCAGGGCGUUCAAAGAAUCAGUAUCGCGUAGGCAUACAAUUGUUGUAGCGCAGUUACUAGUUAAUUGAUAUGUGCGACAUGUUUGGUGUGGCUCGUAUUGAACCUGCAGUCCCAGACAUAUGUAAUGUUUUAUACCCAUCAAAUCCUGUGAAGUGUAUGCUUUUAUGAAUCUAAGUGCUGGAGGGAUGUUCUCGUCAUGCUGCAUUUCAUACACCACAAAACAUCGCCACUUUUUCCUAAUAUAUGAGAGCAUACCAAUAAAAUCAGACGCGAUGUGGACCCAUGUAGCUCGUGAACUACGUCAAAAGUGGUCUAUGGUGUGGCAGUGAACAUGAGUUGCUAUGGUCUCGACGAUCCAAAUACACUGGACCAGACGGCAUUUGAAGAUCGAUGUUCUCAGAGCUCAACAAAAGCGCUUGGUUGACAAAAAUAAUGGUGAAGUCUUUUUCCAGAGCGGAAGCAGCACUAAACUCGAACAUGAUGUACAACUCCGGCAUGAAUUCAUGGCCACGUAAAAUUCAAACAGCUUCCAAGAUAUCCUUACUUUGACACGUCGUCCAGAAGUGAUCUACAAAAUGAAAAUUGAUAAUGAUAAAAGGUGGAAUCGGGCACGCAUGAGACAGCAGCUGCAAAAUGAAAUUAAGCAGCCUUCCGAGUCUUAGGCUUCUUGCUUAGCUUGUAAACGACCAUCCGCGCAAUCUUAUAGAACCAUAGUAAGCUAACCACUUGGAUUCCAACAGCUCCAACCUGCACCAGACGGAGGUGAUGAAGACUUUUUGUUUAAGUUCACUAGUGCAAACAGGGCCGACAGUAAAGAACUUUCAUCAAAACAGCAAUUCAAAAUACAUCAAGGAUAAAGAGCAUGCUAAUAAGGGAGAAAAACCUUGACAGCGAAAGGGGUGGUAGAUGAUAAUAGACACUUGUACACGACAAUAGGUCCAAUGAAGACUCUAGCAACGGUAAAAAUCAGGGCAAAAACAACCUGCACAAGAACCGAAUGUCACACGAAUAAGUGGAUGAUCGAUUCUUCACAGACAAAUUGAAUCAUUGAGAGCAAAAUUGAGCCAGAGUAAUCUCAUAGCUCAAGUUGGUAGAUAGGUAUGAGGAUAUUACGGUAGUUCUUCCUUUUUAAUCAUACACAAAUUGAAGAGAGAAAAAUGAAGUGGAACAAUUGUGCGAUAACAAAUGGAAAUUAAUGAGGCGUUGCGUGUGUUGAAGAUGCUAAUUGGAAAGAAACACAUACAUCAUUCGCAAGGUUCAUCGAUGAAUCUUUCAGGUUCAGCUCUUUGAGAAGCUCUCGAGCAUGCAUGAAGGGGUUUGAUACUUCCAUGAGCAUCAGGCAUGCCACCAGCUCUGUCCCACUCUACAGGAAAAAUAAUAAUAGAAGAAUUAAAAUAAUCGGUUCAUGAUUAUCGAGGCAUGGGACAUCAAACGAAACAUAUGAAAAGUCCAUACAAUACAUUGAAUACAAGCGAACUUUCGGACAAGGAAACUUCAAAUACAAACGAGGAGAAAAACAUAUCUGAGCAAUAGCUGCGUAGAGUUAGAAGUAAGACUUACAAUUUGACGCUCGUAUCCAAACCCAAGCCCUAGGAUAGUGAGAACAUGGUGCAUAAACACAUCCAAACUGAAUGGGAGCUCCACUAAGCAGCAAAGGGUAUCGUAAGUGAAGUAGGCCAGACUUACUGUUAACGCCAGCAUCUGCAACAUUCGACAGACGAUAUUAGCAAUUAAGCGGAGCUCAUAAUAUCAAAAAAAAAUCACUUCAAAUACACUCCGCUAAUGUGGAGAAUCCAAAACCCCCUAUGACAGAAUUCUGGAAUAUGGAAUGCUGUAACGGCACCCAAUUUUCAGAGGGUAUUCAGGCCUGACCACACAUUGCAAACACGAAGCCUGGGAAUGCUGCACGCUUGUACUACUAAAAGCAUCCGAUUAAGGGAUUAAAAAAAAGAAAAGAAAAGAAAAGAAAAGUCCCUUAAGCAAUGAGAUGAGUAAUGCUAGCAUUUGUGCACUAAAUGUAGACAAGACCAUUAAGGCUUCCUCAACCGAAGCUUCGAUAAUAACUAGAAGAUCUCUCACACACAGAAAAGGCGUCAAGUCACUUGCAACUAAACCGAAAGUAAAAUAACACAUUGUAUCAAACACGAGCAUUCUGAUCAUCAAUAUGAAGGAGGACCUCAGACAAACCUAGAAGUCUGACCUGGGGAUAUGUGGAGGCUGCGCCGACACCGUCCAAUGGGCGAGACCAAUCGGCAACCGACUUGGAACAGAAAUAACAGGACACAAACACAUGGAUGAGUGAGACGAUGCGAUUGCAAAAAUCCUUGGAGCGUGCCGGGAAUAACACACGCGACAGCACGUAGACGAAAGUCCACGCUGCAGUCAUGGCCGACAUUGUCACCGGCCCAAGGUCUAGCUCCUGUGUUGCGCCCCCCAUUGCUUCCCUUCCACUCGUGCGCAGUUCCUUCUUCCUGCCCUCGAAGACUGUCCAAGCAACAACACUGUCUCGCCGCAAGCAAUAAAAAUAACAAAAAGUAUCCUAAUGCUCAAGAGCUUCACCCUUCGUUCUUUCCGCCGUGAGGCCUUCAACAGAUCCACGGAGAUGAGUUCGUGUGUGACUCUCGUGAGAUCCCCUCUCUGUCUUAGGUGCUCUUGGCCAUGGUCCACGUUCGGUACACGGUCUUAGGAGCUCCAGGCUCGGUCCACGUUAUGUGCACGGUCUCAGGGGCUUCUGUUGCAUUUCCACUGCCCUCGAGCCCCCUCUCCU
rnacentral:lncRNA from 1 species